UAUUUACUAAGCUACAUACACUAGGAUGAUCUUUUCUCUUGACGAGGAGGGCUAGGGUUCCAGCCGAGAGGGAAGAGAGAAAACCCCAACUUGAACAAAUUUUAUAUUCCAAGGUGCGUGUACAAGUAUGUAUAUCCUUUUACAAAUAUGCAAAUCGUGCAUUUAGAUACCAUAACGGGAUACAAUGACCCUGAUGAUCAAUCACGAGCUUAUCAAGCAUGCAUGCACGAGCGAGGGAGCCCAUGCAAUGGAUGGAUGCAUCAGAUGGGGCAGGUGAAGUUGGUUGGGCACUUCUUGCCGCACUGGUUGAGGAGGAGGGUCAGGUCGAUGGGGACGUUGAGCUUGAUGCCGANNNNNNNNNNNNNNNNNNNNNNNNNNNNNNNNNNNNNNNNNNNNNNNNNNNNNNNNNNNNNNNNNNNNNNNNNNNNNNNNNNNNNNNNNNNNNNNNNNNNUCGGAUAGGAAAAAAUCUGAAAAUAUAAUAUGGAUGAACAUAUGAAAGAAUUAAAGAAACACACCUUGCUUUAUCACUAGGUAUAGAUAUACUCUUUGGUGAAUAGUAACCUAAAAUUGAAUUACGAGAAUUCUGAAUUUAUUUGUCAGCGUGAAAAAUUAAAUUAACUGUAUCAUUUGUCUUUUGACUUGUUUUUUUGCACAUGUCAACACGCUUAAGCUUUCCCAUUAAAAAAAUGCAGGUGGCAUUUGGGUGUGAUAAUAAACACAUAUAUAUUUUUAAAUUUUAUUUGAAGUUGAUAAAAUACAAUUUAACACGCAACAACAUAUAUAUACUAGCCGAAAGUAAUAUCUGUAUAAUGUGUAACUAUUUUGUUUUACUCAAUAUUUUUUUCAACUAAAUCUUCUAGGCUCUAUCUUGUACCACGACGUUCAAGCAGUAUUGAAAUUAGGACCGCCUAUACGUCAGAUAUAUGAAAAAAGAAUCUGUGUCAGCCAAUUUUCUAAGCCGUUGGAUGGCAGGAUCGUCCCUUCGUUCGGCCUCGCACAAAACACAUUAUGACUGACGCAAAAAAAAUACGUGUCCAUCCGUGCCAAUGAGCCAGUAUAAUAAACCUGUGGCCGACACAUGGCAUGGUGGUUGGUGAUGCAGUGGGCCAGCAGGGUCUGGCAGCGGAGAUCGUGGCGCGUUCCGGUGGCGACAGGGCCGACUGGUGGCACCGGCGGGUUCCCACAGGCAGGUUGGUGGCGACGCUGGGAUGGCUUGGUCAUAAUCGAGUCUUGCGAGCAGCGAGCGGUCGGUCACUUCUAUGCAGCGUGGCAAGCGGUGGUGCUGGCCUGGGUUGCGUGGAGAGGCGGGUCUGAUCGCGGCAAGACCGUCCCUUGGAGUGGGUGACGGCCAUUGUAGGCGGUCCUGGACCUGGCUGGAGGUGCUGGUCGGGUGCGGUUCCUUGUGCAGGCUGGGAGUGGAUGGUGUGGCUGCGGUUUCCCUGUCUGGUGGUUGGUCCUUGGUCCUUAGCUUUGCAGCUAUAUCGGCAAGUGUUGCGGUGGCGGCGGUAUGAAGCUUCUUGGAUAGUGCUACCAAGUCCAUGGAGGUGAGGUGGUGGGCUACGCGCGGAUGAAAAUCUUGCACGGCUUAGGUCGAGCCGGUGUUGGUGACACCCGUGGAUGUCAUUUCCUUCCUUGGAGGCAUCGUCGAGCGUGUUUGCCACCUCCUUCGUCCUCCAGGAGCUGUUAGGAGCAUUGUGUUUGAAGACAAGGCUGACUCCUCGUUGCUCUACUUCGGUGUCCGCCGCGGUCCUUGUUUUGAUCCUAAGUGGCACUAUAUAUGUCUGUCACCGGUUGUUCAAGACGGUGACUUUUCGGUGUGGAUCGAGUCCUGUCAUUGAUCUGCAUCUUUCUCUCACGCACUAAGGGUGGCUGGUGCGUCGACAAGAGACACUCUGCGGAAGUUAUUUGGUCUUCGGUGUUGUUCGGCGUCAGUCAAGACGCGGUGCUUUGUGUCGGUUCAGGAUAAGCUCUUUUGCAUUGUAGCUCGGUGGACGGUGCGGUUUAUCUUUAGGUUNNNNNNNNNNNNNNNNNNNNNNNNNNNNNNNNNNNNNNNNNNNNNNNNNNNNNNNNNNNNNNNNNNNNNNNNNNNNNNNNNNNNNNNNNNNNNNNNNNNNGAGUCCAAUUUCUUGCCGAAACAGAUACAUCUUCGUUUUCAAGGUCUGAAACAGGCUGAUAAACAUCCCUUAUGUACUCCUCUGGAGUUAUGACAUUGAUGAUAUUGGUCUCAACAUUUAUGGGAGUACCAGAGAUGUAAUGCUUGAUUCUUUGCCCAUUUACCACUCUAGGAAAAUUUCCUUCCGUGUUAUUGAUUUUGAUGGCACCGGAACGAUAUACUUCCUCGACAACAUAGGGACCUUCCCAUUUAGAGAGAAGCUUGCCUAUAAAGAAUCUCAACCGAGAAUUGUAUAGCAAGACAUAAUCACCUACAUUGAACUCUCGUUUCUGUAUUCGUUUGUUGUGCCAUCUCUUAACCUUUUCCUUGAACAACCUGGCAUUCUCAUAUGCCUGGGCUCUCCAUUCAUCCAACGAGCUGAUAUAAAACAACCACUUCUCACCGGCAAGUUUGAAAUCAAAGUUGAGCUCUUUGAUUGCCCAAUAAGCUUUGUGUUCCAGCUCAAGAGGUAAAUGACAGGAUUUACCGUAAACCAUUUUAUACGGUGACAUGCCCAUGGGAUUCUUAUAAGCAGUCCUAUAAGCCCAUAGUGCAUCGUCAAGUUUGCUUGACCAGUUCUUUCGACAUCUAUUGACGGUCUUUUGUAGGAUCAAUUUGAUCUCCCUAUUACUCAACUCCACUUGACCACUAGACUGAUGAUGAUAAGGAGAUGCAACUCUAUGGUUGACAUCAUACUUAGCUAGCAUCUUGCGGAAAACACCAUGAAUGAAGUGUGAACCGCCAUUAGUCAUCAAGUAUCUAGGGACUCCAAAUCUUGGGAAUAUGACUUCUUUAAGCAUCUUAAUAGAGGUGUGGUGAUCAGCAUUUUUAGUGGGGAUAGCUUCUACCCACUUAGUAACGUAAUCCACAUCAACUAAGAUGUGAGUGUACCCAUUGGAACUCGGGAAGGGUCCCAUAUAAUCAAAGCCCCAGACAUCAAAUGGUUCAAUGACAAGUGAAUAGUUCAUAGGCAUCUCUUGACGCUUACUGAUGUUCCCUAUCCUUUGGCAUUCGUCACAAGACAAGACAAACUUACGGGCAUCCUUGAAGAGAGUGGGCCAAUAGAAACCUAAUUGCAAUACCUUAUGGGCAGUUCUAUCUCCAGCAUGGUGUCCUCCGUAGGCUUCGGAAUGACACUUCUACAGGAUCUGUCCAUGUUCAUGUUCAGGCACACAACGUCUAAUAACACCAUCUACUCCUUCCUUAUAAAGGUGAGGAUCAUCCCACAAGUAGUGUCUCAAAUCAACGAAGAAUUUCCUCUUUUGUUGAUAGGUGAAACUGGGUNNNNNNNNNNNNNNNNNNNNNNNNNNNNNNNNNNNNNNNNNNNNNNNNNNNNNNNNNNNNNNNNNNNNNNNNNNNNNNNNNNNNNNNNNNNNNNNNNNNNCUUGCCGGUAAACGAGGUUGAAAUAGGUAUACGGAUACUGACGAUCGAAUCUCGGGCAAAUAACAUACCGAAGGACAAAGGGAAUGACAUACGGGAUUAUACGAAUCCUUGGCACUGAGGUUCAAACGAUAAGAUCUUCGUAGAAUAUGUAGGAUCCAAUAUGGGCAUCCAGGUCCCGCUAUUGGAUAUUGACCGAGGAGUCUCUCGGGUCAUGUCUACAUAGUUCUCGAACCCGCAGGGUCUGCACACUUAAGGUUCGACGUUGUUUUAUGCGUAUUUGAGUUAUAUGGUUGGUUACCGAAUGUUGUUCGGAGUACCGGAUGAGAUCACGGAUGUCACGAGGGUUUCCGGAAUAGUCCGGAAACGAAGAUUGAUAUAUAGGAUGACCUCAUUUGAUUACCGGAAGGUUUUCGGAGUUACCGGGAAUGUACCGGGAAUGACGAAUGGGUUCCGGGAGUUCACCGGAGGGGGGCAACCCACUCCGGGGAAGCCCAUAGGCAUUUGGGGGGGUCACACCAGCCCUUAGUGGGCUGGUGGGACAGCCCACCAAUCCCCUAUGCGCCAAGAGAGAAAAAAUCAAAGGAAAGAAAAAAAAAGGAAGAAGUGGGAAGGGGGAAGGACUCCCUCCCACCAAACCAAGUAGGACUCGGUUUGGGGGGGGGAGAGUCCUCCCCCUGGCUCGGCCGACCCCUUGGGGAUCCCUUGGACCCCAAGGCAAGGUCCCCCUCCCUCCUCCUAUAUAUAUGGGGCUUUUAGGGCAGAUUUGAGACGACUUUCUCACGGCUGCCCGACCACAUACCUCCAUAGUUUUUCCUCUAGAUCGUGUUUCUGCGGAGCUCGGGCGGAGCCCUGCUGAGACAAGAUCAUCACCAACCUCCGGAGCGCCGUCACGCUGCCGGAGAACUCUUCUACCUCUCCGUCUCUCUUGCUAGAUCAAGAAGGCCAAGAUCAUCGUCGAGCUGUACGUGUGCUGAACGCGGAGGUGCCGUCCGUUCGGUACUAGAUCAUGGGACUGAUCGUGGGAUUGUUCGCGGGGCGGAUCGAGGGACGUGAGGACGUUCCACUACAUCAACCGCGUUCACUAACGCUUCUGCUGUACGGUCUACAAGGGUACGUAGAUCACUCAUCCCUUCUCGUAGAUGGACAUCACCACGAUAGCUCUUCGUGCGCGUAGGNNNNNNNNNNNNNNNNNNNNNNNNNNNNNNNNNNNNNNNNNNNNNNNNNNNNNNNNNNNNNNNNNNNNNNNNNNNNNNNNNNNNNNNNNNNNNNNNNNNNUUCGCCACCUUUGCUCAAAGGGCCCAUUUCAUCUCCUCUCUGUGAGAAGAGUUUGCACCUUCUUCUCAGCCUCAAUCUUAAUAUUUCUAUCGGACAUAUUAAGAAGUGUAGACUUUGGUUUCACAUCUAACUCAUUAGUGAGCUGCGUCGGCCUCUCUUUUUCCACUUUGUAUAUGCCACUUUGAUUCUUGGCCCAGCCUCUCAAGUAGAAUUUAGUGCAGCACACUAAUUAUUAUUGACUGCGGGUUCAAAGUAGAACUUACUCGCACCACGCAUAUGCAUGUUUGUUAGCAUCUAAAUAUAUUUUGAGUUUAAUUCGCGGAUCACCUUAGUAUUUUAUAUAACCAUCAUCAAUUUUCCUUUUUGAUGGUGCAUUAUUGUAGCUUAAGCUUAAAAAAUCCAUCCAAAUGUGUUACUAUAGUUGUAACCCAUUCUACAUAUAUCUAAGAAAUUGAUCACCACUAACUUAUUUAUCUCAAUAUACAAGCAUAUGCCAGAUCACCAUAUAAUGGACAGGAUAAGAUCUACCUCAGCAUGCAACCAUGUAUCAAAAAAGACCCAAUACCACACGCUACCAUGGAGGUCAAAAUAUUUUUCAUUCAUUUUUUAAGAAAAGGAUCAGAUCUUCUAUAAAAGUUCAUCAAAAAUACAAAGCAUCUCAAACAUAAUAAAAAUUAGAAUGAGAUUCCGAAACCACCGAAUAACCACUAUUACUGACAGAACGUGUCGCCGAUGCAUUGUUGUUGCCGCUCCCCUACUGGAGCAAACUUGACACUGACGAUGACAACCGACAUAUCUUCCCGCACAUGCACGUAAGGACCAACACCCUGGCACCAUAGUUGUCGUUAUUGAACCAUUUCAUAGAUCUGAAGCAACAUGCACCAAAUCUCGUCAGAUGAUGAGAAACCCUAACCUCAUCGCGAGGAGAAGACAACAUGAUUCUACGCCGGAGCUCCGUCGACUAUAUCUAGACGGACAAAAACUUAAUGAGAAUGGGAGCCUAAAAAGAAGCGUCACCAUCCUUCCGAACGCCACAAUGAUAACAACACCGCCAACAACAACCAAGCCUUUCAGUCCCAAAGAAGUUGGGGCAGGCUAGAGUUGAAACCCAGAAGAUCUCGAAGCCAAGUCAUGGCUCUGGAACGUGGAUAGCUAACUUCCNNNNNNNNNNNNNNNNNNNNNNNNNNNNNNNNNNNNNNNNNNNNNNNNNNNNNNNNNNNNNNNNNNNNNNNNNNNNNNNNNNNNNNNNNNNNNNNNNNNNAACGUAGCAAGCAAAGAGUAACAAGUAACAAGUAGUAGAAACAGUGCAGCAAGUGUCCCAAUCCCUUUUGUAGCAAGGGACAAGCCUGAACAAAGUCUUAUAGGAGGAAAAACGCUCCCGAGGACACACGGGAAUUUCUGUCAUGCUAGUUUCAUCAUGUUCAUAUGAUUCGCGUUCGUUCCUUUGAUAGUUCGAUAUGUAGGUGGACCGGCGCUUGGGUAUUGCCCUUACUUGGACAAGUAUCCCACUUAUGAUUAACCUCUCUCGCAAGCAUCCACAACUACAAAAGAAGAAUUAAGACAAAGUCUAACCAUAGCAUUAAACUAGUGCAUCCAAAUCAGCCCCUCACGAAGCAACGCAUAAACUGGGGUUUAAGCUUGUGUCACUCCAGCAACCCAUCAUCUACUUACUACUUCCCAAUGCCUUCCUCUAGGCCCAAAUAUGGUGAAGUGUUAUGUAGUCGACGUUCACAUAACACCACUAGAGGAAAAACAACAUACAUCAUAUCAAAAUACCGAACGAAUAUCAAAUUCACAUGACUAUUAUCAGCAUGACUUAUCCCAUGUCCUCAGGAACAAAAGUAACUACUCACAAGACAUAAUCAUAAUCAUGACCAGAGGUGUAAUGAAUAGCAUCAAGGAUCUGAACAUAAACUCUUCCACCAAGUAAUCCAACAAGCAUCAACUACAAAGAGUAAUCGACACUACUAGCAACCUUACAAGUACCAAUCGGAGUCGCGAGACGAAGAUUGAUUACAAGAGAUGAACUNNNNNNNNNNNNNNNNNNNNNNNNNNNNNNNNNNNNNNNNNNNNNNNNNNNNNNNNNNNNNNNNNNNNNNNNNNNNNNNNNNNNNNNNNNNNNNNNNNNNUGGAUAGCUAACUUCCACGCACCCCUGUCCAUGGCUAAGUCGUUGUCGAUAUUCCAAACCUUCAGGUCUCUCUUAACGGACUCCUCCCAUGUCAUGUUUGGUCUACCACGACCCCUCUUAACAUUCUCAACAUGCUUUAUCCGUCCGCUAUGCACCGGCGCUUCCGGUGGCCUCCGUUGAAUAUGUCCAAACCAUCUGAGACGAUGCUGGACCAGCUUCUCUUCAAUUGGUGCUACCCCAAGUCUCUCUCGUAUAUCGUCAUUCCGUACCCGAUCCUUCCUUGUGUGGCCACAUAUCCAUCUCAACAUGCGCAUCUCUGCUACACCUAACUGUUGGAUAUGUCGUCUCUUGGUUGGCCAACACUCCGCGCCAUACAACAUCGCAGGUCGGAUAGCUGUCCUAUAAAACCUGCCUUUUAGCUUUUGUGGCACUCUCUUGUCACAAAGUACGCUAGAAGCUUGGCGCCACUUCUUCCACCCAGCCUUGAUUCGGUGGCCCACGUCUUCAUUGAUAUCGCCAUCCUUCUGCAACAUGGACCCCAAAUAUUGAAACGUCUCUCUCUCCGGUACCACCUGCCCACCAAGGCUAACCUCUCCAUCCUCGUGCCUAGUAGCACUAAAACUGCACCUCAUGUAUUCGGUUUUAGUUCUACUAAGCCUAAAACCUUUCGAUUCUAGAGUCNNNNNNNNNNNNNNNNNNNNNNNNNNNNNNNNNNNNNNNNNNNNNNNNNNNNNNNNNNNNNNNNNNNNNNNNNNNNNNNNNNNNNNNNNNNNNNNNNNNNUGCACUCUGCAGCAGACAACAUGCACAUAGGAGUACUCUUCUUGAAAACUAAAGGAAAGUCUCGUGGCACAGCUCUCAGGUUUUUGUUCAUUAGCGAACACAUUAAGCUCCAAUGAUGGAUGUCACACACGUAACAUGCCAGUACAAUAAUGGUUGCACAUGAGUUUUGGAAAGUACCACGGCAACACGCAAACUAACUACGUCGAUUGAUAAUGACAUGAACGAGGCACUUGCACACCCCACCCGGUCUAUAAGUACCACGCCAAACAACCCAAGAAAACCAUCCCAAGCUAGCAUAGCCUACAAGCUUAAUUAGCCACAUACCAAAGGGCCUCCUGCCUGGGCUCACCGCACCGGCCACGUGGAGGCCCAUCUGUCCCGGUUUAUGCAAGAACCGAGACUAAAGGUUUAGGGCAUUAGUACCGACACUUUAGUCCCGGUUCAAAAAACGGGACAAAUGGCCCUCACGAACCGGGACAAUAGGUCCUUUUUCUACUAAUGGGAUAAGCUCUUUUGCAUUGUAGCUCGCUGGACGGUGUGGUUUAACUUUAGGUUUGUCCUUNNNNNNNNNNNNNNNNNNNNNNNNNNNNNNNNNNNNNNNNNNNNNNNNNNNNNNNNNNNNNNNNNNNNNNNNNNNNNNNNNNNNNNNNNNNNNNNNNNNNGGAUCCAAUAUGGGCAUCCAGGUACCGCUAUUGGAUAUUGACCGAGGAGUACCUCGGGACAUGUCUACAUAGUUCUUUAAUCGGACUAUUGACUUUAGGUUUAUGGAACGAAAUAUCAAGGGGUUUCUAGAAAACAUAGAAGAUUUUCUGGACUCACUUAAAACAGGACAGUAGGUCGUUUAACCGAAAGGUUAGGAUGUUUUUAGUAAAAUACAAAAUAUUUUUAAGAUUCACUUAAAAUCAGGACCGUGAAAGAAACAAUUGGGUUUAUUUGUUUCCAAAAGGUACGACGGACGGGUAGAGACAUUUAUCCUUUUAUUAAUAAGUAUAGACAUAGACUAGUGAUCUAGAAUAAAUGUAUUAUACUCCCUCCAUUUCUAAAUAUAAGUGUUUCUAGAUAUUUUACUACGAACUAUAUACGGAUGUAUAUAGACAUAAUUUGAAUUGUAGAUUCAUUUAUUUUUAUUGGUAUGUAGUUCAUAGUAGAAUAUUUGAAAAAAAACUUAUAUNNNNNNNNNNNNNNNNNNNNNNNNNNNNNNNNNNNNNNNNNNNNNNNNNNNNNNNNNNNNNNNNNNNNNNNNNNNNNNNNNNNNNNNNNNNNNNNNNNNNAAAAAUCUUGCUGAAGAUUUUCUUCUUCUCCAAUGCCACCUUUUACAUCUUGACGUUCUAGCUGAUCCAUCAAAAAUUCAAGGAUGCAUGCAUCGUACUACUGAUUAAUCCGCAAGACAUAGGUACACUGGUAGAUGUCAUAAGUGCCUGCAGGCAUACUUACGUUUUUCUUUAUACAAUCGCAGAUGUUCAUAGCUCACGUAUACACGUACAUACACUCACCUAUAUAAACAUACACACGCAUCCUAUAUCUAGAGGGCCUCCAAGAUAUUGAGUUAGCACAACAUUUGAGAUUGACGAAGUUAUCAGAGACGUUUCAUGGUAGAUGGAAACAUCUUCUUUCACUGAACGAACAUCGCCAUGUGACAUUUAUCGUAAGCAGUUCAAACUUAUUAAGGAAAGAGUUGAAUAAAAAUAGAAAAUUUUGAGCAUUGGUGACAAGUCUAACUGGUGGUCUGAUUCCACCACAAGUAACCUAACUAUUUUACCUAUGCUCAAAUCGCUACUUAAGUUAGCAUAAUAUAUUCUAUAGUGAAUAUGUACAAAUCAUCCAUUGUUGUAUCUUGUUGUGGCAUCUAACUGACUCACCUGUUCAUAGAAGGACACACAGAAUAAUAAUAAAAAGUGAAUUCCGGUUUUUACCUUCUAUUUUAACAUUUUUGACACUACUUACCCGAUUUAACGGGAUUUCAUCCGUUUUAACCCACUUAUCAAAAAUGUUCCCAAAAUUUACCUUGCAUAAAAUUUUGUGAGCGUUUUGACCGAUGGGUCUCAAUUGUAAAGUUCAACUGGCAUGUCACAUCAGUGGGGUUUUUCUCAUGGUUUUUCUGCACGUCGAACCACAUCGCCUGCCAUCUCCUGACCGGUCAGGCUCGAUAUGAUUCCAACAGAGCAGCUCCCCGGAUGGCCAAGUCGCCCAGGUCGGGCCACACCACACCAUCCUCCGUUGUUCACUACACGCAUCGCUCGCAUUCCAAUCACACGCAAGAUCCCGCCAUAGUUUGGCCAAAAAUUGAUGUCUCAUUUGCUAGGAGGGGAAGGACGAGGUAGGGGACGAGCGGCAGGCAAAACUUCAAGGCAUGGCUAUUGGCAAUCAUCGGAGCCAAUACGACAAUCUUCUCCCCUCCCAUGCAUGGCUCCAUCCUCUCCAGCUCAACCCAGGUGGUUAUGUUUUUAUGGCUAGAUUUUCUCUCUGUCCGAGAUGCAUAUUUGAUAGGUUUAGGCUCCUUGUUUCCGGUUCGAAGAAGUAUGGUGAUGAAAUGACCUUACUUCAUAAGUAUGGCAUGAUCCCAUUGAAUAAAUUGUAGGAGAAAUUGUUACUGAUAUAAUCAUGUAUGUUUUUCUACAACAUUGUCAUGUACGGCCCUAAGUAUGCAUGAUUAUGUGGAUGAGAUUAAAACUGGUGUGUAAAUAUACUACUUCGCUUACUUUGAUGUACGUACGUAUCUAAAUACCUAGUCAAGUAGCGAAUGUGUUGACCUGUAGUGAGUCGGUAUAUAUUUCCCAAGCUACUCUGUGCAAUCAUAUCGUGUCUGAACGAUCAGGAAAAUUUAUGGCGAUGUGGUUCGGUAUGUAGAAAAAACAUCACAAAAACCCCGUCGAUGUGGCAUAUGCCAGCUGGACCGUACAAUUGGGACCUAUCGGUNNNNNNNNNNAGGGUAAAACGGAUGGAACCCGCUUAAUGAGGUAAUUAGGGUCAAACAUAUCAAAACAGGGGUAAAAACCGGAAUUCACUCUAAUAAAAAAUUGGUCAAGUUGUGUUAACNNNNNNNNNNCAGAACAUUUAUAAAAUCUUAAACAGGGUAAAUUGUGACGACACAUUUGUUAAAUGGGAUAAAACGGAUGGAACCCGUUUAAUGAGGUAAUUAGGGUCAAACAUAUCAAAACAGGGAUAAAAACCGGAAUUCACUCUAAUAAAAAAUUGGUCAAGUUGUGUUAACUCGGCCUGUGAUAUAUGGCAACUUAUUGUGUAGUAUGUACGCAAGUAUGCAAGAUUGAAUGAAUCAUGAUACAAUCAACGUAUUUUGGCAUUCACUUGCUACAUCUUGUUUCUGUUCUUUUUUUCCUGUUUUUUAUCAUCUUGUGUUAACUCCGCCUAUGUUAUCUCAGCAUAGCCGGUCNNNNNNNNNNGUGUUCUUUUUUUCUUGUUUCUUAUCAUCUUGUGUUAACUCCGCCUAUGUUAUCUCAGCAUAGCCGGUCCCAAGACCGGGUAAAGGAGGAGGGUUGUGAUAGGCGUGGCGAGCCAACAUGAAAAACCCAGCCACUCUUAUGGAGAUGAAACCCAAAGGAAACUCGUUGGGGGCGUAACCCUCUUAGCGACGGGCCACAUCGGAACCCGGGUGUGGUGUCAAAUGGGCAAGGGCCGGGCCGUCACCCCCUUGGUGGCGCGCCGUAUCUUGAUCUGGAUACGGUGAUAAGUGAGCAAGGGUCGGGUCGCCGCAUCCUUAGUGGCGCGCUNNNNNNNNNNAGAGAUGAAACCCAAAGGAAACUCGUUGGGGCGUAACCCUCUUAGCGACGCGCCACAUUGGAACCCCGUUCUGGUGUCAAAUGGGCAAGGGCCGGGCCGUCACCCCCUUGGUGGCGUGCCGUAUCUUGAUCUGGAUAUGGUGAUAAGUGAGCAAGGGUCGGGUCGCCGCAUCCUUAGUGGCGCGCUGCACCGACGCCCCGGUGUAGUAAAAAAUGAGCAAGGGUCUUCGCAUUUGACUCGGCGAGUGCGGAGGGUAAGGAAGUUAGCCGAGCCUAGGAGGAUACGCUUAGGUAGCUGGAACGUAGGGUCCCUAACGGGUAAGUUACGGGAGCUAGUUGAUACGGCGGUGAGGAGGCGUGUUGAUGUCCUAUGUGUCCAAGAGACCAAAUGGAAGGGACAAAAGGCGAAGGAGGUGGAGGAUACCGGCUUCAAGUUGUGGUAUACGGGGACAACUUCAAACAAGAAUGGAGUAGGCAUCUUGGUCAACAAGAGCCUUAGGGAUGGAGUUGUGGACGUUAAGAGGCAAGGGGAUUGGAUGAUCCUUGUCAAGCUGGUAGUUGGGGACUUAGUCCUCAAUGUUAUCAGCGCGUAUGCCCCGCAAGUAGGCCACAAUGAGAGCACCAAGAGGGAGUUCUGGGAAGGCCUGGAGGACUUGAUUAGGAGGGUACCUAUUGGUGAGAAUCUCUUCAUAGGAGGAGACUUCAAUGGCCAUGUGGGUACAUCUAACACAGGGUUUGAAAGGGUGCAUGGGGGCUUUGGCUAUGGCAUCAGGAACAAAGAAGGAGAAGAUGUCCUGAGCUUCGCUCUAGCCUACGACAUGGUUGUAGCUAACACCCUCUUUAGGUAGAGAGAAUCCCAUCUAGUGACGUUCAGUAGUGGUCUACACUCUAGCCUGAUUGAUUUUGUCCUCUCUAGAAGAGAAGACAGACGCGCUUGCAUUGAUUGUAAAGCGAUACCUGGAGAGAGUGUUGUCCCUCAACAUAAGCUUGUGGUUGCUGACUUCCGCUUUAGGAUUCGUGUCCAACAGGAUAAGCAUGCCAAAGUUGCUAGAACGAAGUGGUGGAAGCUCAAGGGGGAGGCAUCCCAGGCUUUCAGGGAGAGGGUCAUUAAGGAGGGCCCUUGGGAGGAAGGAGGCGAUGCAAACUUGAUGUGGACGAGUAUGGCGACCUUCUUGCGGAAGGUUGUUGUAGAGGAGUUUGGGGUGACCAAGGGAAGUAGAAGGGAAGCUAAGGACACCUGGUGAUGGAACGAUGAGGUCCAGAAGGUUAUUAGGGAGAAGAAGGACUGUUUCAGAUGCCUAUAUCUGGACAGGAGUGCAGCUAACAUGGAGAAGUAUAAGGUGGCAAAGAAGGCUGCAAAGCGGGCGGUGAGUGAAGCGAGAGGUCAAGCGUAUGAGGACCUCUACCAACGUUUAAACACUAAGGAAGGUGAAAGGGACAUCUAUAAGAUGGCCAAGAUUAGGGAGAGGAAGACGAGGGAUGUCGGCGAAGUCAAAUGCAUCAAGGACGGAGAUGAUCAGCUUCUUGUGAAGGAUGAGACGAUCAAGCGUAGAUGGCGGGAGUACUUUGACAACCUUUACAAUGGAGAGGUUGACAGCUCUACCAUUGAGCUAGACGACUCCUUUGAUGAUACCAGCAUGUGCUUUGUGCGAUGUAUCCAGGAGUGUGAGGUUAAGUACGCGUUAAAAAGCAUGAAAGUAGGCAAGGCGAUGGGUCCUGAUGGUAUCCCCAUCGAGGUGUGGAGAGGCCUUGGAGACAUAGCGAUUGUAUGGCUAACUAAGCUUUUCAACCUCAUUUUUCGGUCAAACAAGAUGCCCGAAGAAUGGAGGCGGAGUAUUUUAGUACCAAUCUUUAAGAACAAUGAGGAUGUUCAAUGUUGUACUAAUUACCGCGGAAUCAAGCUGAUGAGCCAUACUACGAAGUUAUGGGAGAGAGUCAUUGAACACCGCUUAAGAAGGUUGACAAGCGUGACCAAAAACCAAUUUGGUUUCAUGCCUGGGAGGUCUACCAUGGAAGCCAUCUUCUUGGUAUGACAGCUGAUGGAGAGAUACAGGGAGCAAAAGAAGGACCUUCAUAUGGUGUUCAUUGAUUUGGAGAAGGCCUAUGAUAAGAUACCUCGGAAUGUCAUGUGGUGGGCCUUGGNNNNNNNNNNAUCGAUCAACUGGCUAGCCAACUAGAGGCAUGCUAGGGACGGUGUUUUGUCUAUGUAUCCACACAUGUAAAUGAGUCUUCAUUCAAUACAAUUAUAGCAUGGAUAAUAAACUAUUAUCUUGAUACAGGAAUUAUAAUAAUAACUAUACAUUUAUUAUUGCCUCUAGGGCAUAAUUCCAACAAUAUGGUGUUCAUUGAUUUGUAGAAGGCCUAUGAUAAGAUACCUCGGAAUGUCAUGUGGUGGGCCUUGGAGAAACACAAAGUCCCAAUAAAGUACAUUAUCCUCAUCAAGGAUAUGUAUGAUAAUGUUGUGACAAGUGUUCGAACAAGUGAUGGCGACACCGAUGACUUUCCGAUUAGAAUAGGGCUACACCAAGGGUCAGCUUUGAGCCCUUNNNNNNNNNNCCCUCAUCAAGGAUAUGUAUGAUGAUGUUGUGACAAGUGUUCGAACAAGUGAUGGCGACACUGAUUACUUUCCGAUUAGAAUAGGGCUACACCAAGGGUCAGCUUUGAGCCCUUAUCUUUCUGAUUUGGUGAUGGAUGAGGUCACAAGGGAUAUACAAGGAGAUAUCCCAUGGUGUAUGCUCUUUGCGGAUGAUGUGGUGCUAGUCGAUGAUAGCCGAAUGGGGGUUAAUAGAAAGUUAGAGUAUGGAGGCAGACUCUAGAAUCGAAAGGUUUUAGGCUUAGUAGAACUAAAACCGAAUACAUGAGGUGCAGUUUUAGUGCUACUAGGCACGAGGAUGGAGAGGUUAGCCUUGGUGGGCAGGUGGUACCGGAGAGAGACGUGUUUCAAUAUUUGGGGUCCAUGUUGCAGAAGGAUGGCGAUAUCGAUGAAGACGUGGACCACCGAAUCAAGGCUGGGUGGAUGAAGUGGCGCCAAGCUUCUAGCGUAGUCUGUGACAAGAGAGUGCCACAAAAACUAAAAGGCAGGUUUUAUAGGACAGCUAUCCGACCUGCGAUGUUGUAUGGCGCGGAGUGUUGGCCAACCAAGAGACGACAUAUCCAACAGUUAGGUGUAGCAGAGAUGCGCAUGUUGAGAUGGAUAUGUGGCCACACAAGGAAGGAUCGGGUACGGAAUGACGAUAUACGAGAGAGACUUGGGGUAGCACCGAUUGAAGAGAAGCUGGUCCAGCAUCGUCUCAGAUGGUUUGGACAUAUUNNNNNNNNNNNNNNNNNNNNNNNNNNNNNNNNNNNNNNNNNNNNNNNNNNNNNNNNNNNNNNNNNNNNNNNNNNNNNNNNNNNNNNNNNNNNNNNNNNNNUCUUGUUUUUUAUCAUUGUGGCGUUCGGAAGGAUGGUGACGCUUCUUUUUAGGCUCCGAUUCUCAUUAAGUUUUUGUCCGUAUGGAUAUAGUUGACAGAGCGCCGACGCAGAAUCAUGUUCUCUUCUUCUCGCGAUGAGGUUAGGGUUUCUCGUCAUAUGACGAUUUUGUGCAUGUUGCUUCAGAUCUAUGAAAUGGUUCAAUAGCGACUACUAUGGUACCAGGGUGUGGGUCCUUACGUGCAUGUGCGGGAAGAUAUCUCGGUUGUCAUCGUCAAUGCAUCGGCGACACGUUCUGUCAGUAAUAGUGGUUAUUUGGUGGUUUCGGAAUCUCAUUCUAAUUUUUAUUAUUUUUGAGAUGCUUUGUAUUUUCCAUGAACUUUUAUAAAAGAUCUGAUCAUUUUCUUAAAAAAUGAAUGAAAAAUAUUUUGCCCUGCAUGGUAGCAUGUGGUAUUGGGUCUUUUUUGAUACAUGGUUGCAUACUGAGGUAGAUCUUAUCCUGUCCAUUAUAUGGUGAUCUGGCAUAUGCUUGUAUAUUGAGAUAAAUAAGUUAGUGGUGAUCAAUUUCUUAGAUAUAUGUAGAAUGGGUUACAACUAUAGUAACACAUUUGGAUGGAUUUUUUAAGCUUAAGCUACAAUAAUGCACNNNNNNNNNNUGUGAUCACUGUCUUAGAUAUAUGUAGAAUGGGUUACAACUACAGUAACACAUUUGGAUGGAUUUUUUAAGCUUAAGCUACAACAAUGCACCAUCAAAAAGGAAAAUUGAUGAUGGUUAUAUAAAAUACUAAGGUGAUCCGCGAAUUAAACUCAAAAUAUAUUUAGAUGCUAACAAACAUGCAUAUGCGUGGUGCGAGUAAGUUCUACUUUGAACCCGCAGGCAAUAAUAAUUAGUGUGCUGCACUAAAUUCUACUUGAGAGGCUGGGCCAAGAAUCAAAGUGGCAUAUACAAAGUGGAAAAAGAGAGGCCGACGCAGCUCACUAAUGAGUUAGAUGUGAAACCAAAGUCUACACUUCUUAAUAUGUCCGAUAGAAAUAUUAAGAUUGAGGCUGUGAAGAAGGUGCAAACUCUUCUCAGAGAGAGGAGAUGAAAUGGGCCAUUUGAGCAAAGGUUGCGAAGGUGCACCCGAAGAGAAUUUUGUUUUUCUGGAUUAGAGCACAACAAGUGACAUUCCUCAACCCAGUUCAGAUGAGAACGAGGUUUUGCCAGCCCCAUUUAGGGAUGAAGAGAUGUUUGACACAAUAUCACAAAUGAAGCCAAAUAAGGCACCGGGACCAGAUGGGUUUCCGAUGGAAUUUUAUAAAAAGUGUUGGCAUAUUAUUAAAGAUGAUAUUUUGCAUAUGUUCCAUGAUUUGUUUAAUGGGCAUUUGCAGCUAUUCCACCUUAACUUUGGAAUAAUAAUGGUGUUUCUAAAGAAGGUGNNNNNNNNNNNNNNNNNNNNNNNNNNNNNNNNNNNNNNNNNNNNNNNNNNNNNNNNNNNNNNNNNNNNNNNNNNNNNNNNNNNNNNNNNNNNNNNNNNNNUCAGUUAAACUCAAAAUAUAUUUAGAUGCUAACAAACAUGCAUAUGUGUGGUGCGAGUAAGUUCUACUUUGAAUCCGCAGGCAAUAAUAAUUAGUGUAGUGCACGUAAAUUCUACUUGAAAGGCUGGGCCAAGAAUCAAAGUGGCAUAUACAAAGUGGAAAAAGAGAGGCCGACGCAGCUCACUAAUGAGUUAGAUGUGAAAGCAGAGUCUACACUUCUUAAUAUGUCUGAUAGAAAUAUUAAGAUUGAGGCUGAGAAGAAGGUGCAAACUCUUCUGAGAGAGAGGAGAUGAAAUGGGCCCUUCGAGCAAAGGUGGCGAAGGUGGACCAUGGAGAUGAUAAAACACAAUUCUUUCACAUGAUUGGGAAUGGCAAACAUAGGAAGAAGAAAAUAAUUCAACUUGAACACGAUGAGGAUAAAAUUGUAGGAAAUGAGAACCUAAAAUUGUACAUCUCCGAGUAUUAUAAGAAACUUUUUGGUGCAUCCGAAGAGAAUUUUGUUUUUCUGGAUGAGAGCACAACAAGUGACAUUCCUCAACCCAGUUCAGAUGAGAAUGAGGUUUUGUCAGCCCUAUCUUUAGCCGAUUUGGAUGGUAAACUAAUAAUUGGCUAGGUGUAUAGGCAUCGUAGAUUACUUAUGGUUUCGUCGAAUGUGACAUCAUUUAUUUUCUAUACUUUGUGUUUUGCUCAUAUUGUGAGCUAAUUGUUGCUGCAUUACUUUGCUCUUGAACUUAUUUAGUAAUAAUAUGGUUGCAUGCAUCGAUUGAUGCAGAGUUUGAAGGCUACGUGCCUCCAUUAAAAAAAGUAAAUUCUACUUUGAACAUGCGGACAAUGAUAGUUAUGAUAUGGUGACCCUUCGGACAAGAUUUUGGUAUUUGCGAAUGCUGAGGUGUAUUCCGUCCGGCACCUAGCAAGGCUGCAGGAACCACACCUUAUUUGUGAAGCAUAGGUUUUACCUAGGUCCGGAUCCUUGCAUGAUGACUAACAACACUAACCAUGUUUGUCUGGAAUUACAUUCUCAAGGAGUUACAGAGAUCAAGAACAUGAUGUGCUCGUCAGGUUCGUGGUGAACUCGACGAAUAGGGGGUGGACUCUAGAUCAUGUCCCAUCGGCUAGGCUAAUCUAGCAGUCUUAAGACUUCAGGUGCUUUCAAAUCAAAUGGAAGAUGUCUUUGCUUCCAUGGCCAUUCGCAUAUUUACCAAUAUCUUGGUGGUUAGGCUUUGCCGACUUCCUCAUGGUCUCAUUGUUCUUCUUCCCUAUGGAUUCUUGAUAGCCUUGAGGGCCUUCUGGUAAGAAAUUACCAGGGGUGGCGCAUCCAUGGAAGUCAGUACUCUGGACAAUCCCCCCCCCCCCCNNNNNNNNNNNNNNNNNNNNNNNNNNNNNNNNNNNNNNNNNNNNNNNNNNNNNNNNNNNNNNNNNNNNNNNNNNNNNNNNNNNNNNNNNNNNNNNNNNNNNNNNNNNNNNNNNNNNNNNNNNNNGAACAUUACGGUAAGUAUGGAAAUUCACUUCCCCUCGACACCAUUUUAUUUGGACUAUAUUUUAGAUUCACAAAUUGGCGUUCAACCAGGUUUAAUGGUUCANNNNNNNNNNNNNNNNNNNNNNNNNNNNNNNNNNNNNNNNNNNNNNNNNNNNNNNNNNNNNNNNNNNNNNNNNNNNNNNNNNNNNNNNNNNNNNNNNNNNGAGACAAGUCUGACUCCUCGUUGCUCUACUUCGGAGUCUGCCGCAAUCCUUGUUUUGAUCCUAAGUGGCACUAUAUAUGUCUGUCACCGGUUGUUCAAGACGGUGACUUUUCGGUGUGGAUCGAGUCCUGUCAUUGAUCUGCAUCUUUCUCUCACGCACUAAGGGUGGCUGGUGCGUCGACAAGAGACACUCUGCGGAAGUUAUUUGGUCUUCGGUGUUGUUCGGCGUCAGUCAAGACGCGGUGCUUUGUGUCGGUUCAGGAUAAGCUCUUUUNNNNNNNNNNAGUGUGGAUUGAGUCCUGUCAUUGAUCUGCAUCUUUCUCUCACGCGCUAAGGGUGGCUGGUGCGUCGACAAGAGACACUCUGGGGAAGUUAUUUGGUCUUCGGUGUUGUUCGACGUCAGUCAAGACGCGGUGCUUUGUGUCGGUUCAGGAUAAGCUCUUUUGCAUUGUAGCUCGGUGGACGGUGCGGUUUAUCUUUAGGUUUGUCCUUGUGAUGUUCGUGCUAUGCAUCAAGUGAUAGCUUUUUUCAUUGAAAUUAUGUCUUUACCAGAGUACAAAAGGUAUCNNNNNNNNNNNNNNNNNNNNNNNNNNNNNNNNNNNNNNNNNNNNNNNNNNNNNNNNNNNNNNNNNNNNNNNNNNNNNNNNNNNNNNNNNNNNNNNNNNNNAGUCCUAGUUUCAAUACUGCUUGAACGCCGUGGUGCAAGAUAGAGCCUAGAAGAUUUAGUUGAAAAAAAUAUUGAGUAAAACAAAAUAGUUACACAUUAUACAGAUAUUACUUUCGGCUAGUAUAUAUAUGUUGUUGCGUGUUAAAUUGUAUUUUAUCAACUUCAAAUAAAAUUUAAAAAUAUAUAUGUGUUUAUUAUCACACCCAAAUGCCACCUGCAUUUUUUUAAUGGGAAAGCUUAAGCGUGUUGACAUGUGCAAAAAAACAAGUCAAAAGACAAAUGAUACAGUUAAUUUAAUUUUUCACGCUGACAAAUAAAUUCAGAAUUCUCGUAAUUCAAUUUUAGGUUACUAUUCACCAAAGAGUAUAUCUAUACCUAGUGAUAAAGCAAGGUGUGUUUCUUUAAUUCUUUCAUAUGUUCAUCCAUAUUAUAUUUUCAGAUUUUUUCCUAUCCGACGUUAUAUUUUCAUAUCCAUAUUAUAUUUUCAUAUUGUUGUGCUGCAAGUUCGAAGUUCAUUUGUUGUGCUAUAUGGGAAAAACAAAAAAAAAAGUACUUGCACGAAUCGCGAUGUGGAAUUGGAUGGCUAGAUAGGGGGAUGCCUAGAAGCCUAAGCUCCACAAUAUAUUUUCGUGGUAAUUUGAUGGCACCAAUGCUCCAACGCAAAUUUUAUACAUCAAGGUUAGCUUCUACAAUCUAUGCUGUUAUAGUAGAUGUUUCAGAGAAGCAGUUCCCUAUAAAUUAUUGGUGGUUAAAUUUUUUUAGACAUCAAGAAGCAUUCAUAAUUUUGGCAGCAACAAUUAUAAGGUGCGCCAUACAAGCAUUACUAGUAUAAUAUCCAUGCAUUGCCACGGGCUAUGAAUAUAUUUUUAUCAGUUGCAAACAUAGUCACAAUACAUGUAAAAAUUUACAUGCAUAGAAAUUAUAGCAUGUAACGAUGAGAAGUAAUUAAAAUCCACUUCAGUAAUCCAAUUAAUUAUCUUUUACAAAUAAAGAUCUACUUGAUGUGUUUAACAUAGUUUUGUACAAUGUGAGGAAUGUUGUCUUCAACUUCAUUGCAUGGCACAAUGUGAGCCGCAUCCUUAUUUUGAUGAGUUUUAAAUUGUGUAUAUAUAUAUUUUCUAGAAAUGACUUGUUAUGCUAUGUGACAUUGAUGUCAACGUAUAGAAGCUCCUCCUUUUUACUUUUUNNNNNNNNNNNNNNNNNNNNNNNNNNNNNNNNNNNNNNNNNNNNNNNNNNNNNNNNNNNNNNNNNNNNNNNNNNNNNNNNNNNNNNNNNNNNNNNNNNNNNNNNNNNNNNNNNNNNNNNNNNNNNNNNNNNNNNNNNACAGCUGCCUUCUACUCUUCCCGCACAACCAACCAGACACCAAUUGUCACCGCAUCUCAUCUCCCCGCCAGAGAGUAUCCACCGCCAUCUCCCCCAGACACCUCCCCUCCAUGCCAUGGCGAAGCCCGCCCACUCCUCUCCCCAUCAUCUGCCCUCUCAUCCAUGGCUCCGCCGCCUCGACGCUGAGCUAGCCCACCGGUCUAGCAUCGUGGAUAGUUGGGUCCUCCCUGGAGGUGCAAAAGGGAUCGCAACCGUCUGUUAGUGCUAGCCAUGUAGCUGACCCAUUCGUAUGUGAGUUGCACAACCUCAUGUGGCACUGCGAGGAGGGAUACACCUUCAUCAUCGAGGUUGCUCACCCCAGGCCGAUUUCCGGUGCCAUGGAGUGCACGUUGUCAUGCUAGGGCAGCCGCCAAGGAGAUGCGACCUUCUAAUCAUUUUCCUUGCCCAAACCAUUCAAAUCCGAUGUAGCUGCCAGCAUGUCUAUCGUUCCUAUCGAUUAGCUUUAUGGAUUACAUGAGAAGACUUUUACGUGUGCGCGCGUCGCAACACGUGAUAGGCUUGCAAGCGCAAUCCUAAUCCCCCUAAUUUUAGUUGUGAAGCUGAAUAUCUAAUCUCAUUAAUCCAUCUCCCUUGAUUUUCAGAGCAUGGAUUUCUAUGCAUCUCUCCAAUCUCUUGUCCCAGAUUUUUAGGGAAAGUUUANNNNNNNNNNGGCUGAAUAUCUAAUCUCAUUAAUCCAUCUCCCUUGAUUUUCAGAGCGUGGAUGUCUAUGCAUCUCUCCAAUCUCUUGUCCCAGAUUUUUAGGGAAAGUUUAAUAGCAACCUGAUGAGAGACGACCUCUAGUUCAUGCACAUGCCAUUUCCUCAUACUAUCUGAAGGGAGUAUCAAAAUCAUAAUUGCGUAGCUUUUAGUUUUUUGCUAAAAGUUUAGGCGCAUCAUUUUUUUUGCGCCGGGCAUGAAGGAAAAACAUUUAUCUAGACAUUUGAAAGAUGCAGCAGUGAGACUCUCAUAACAACCAGUUCCGAUUGAACAUACAACCCUUGAACAGGGUGGAGCCCCGCCAUAGGUCCACUAUAUUGGUUACAAAUUUACAAUUCUCUAACAACUUUGUGCCAUUUUUGGACUAUUUGUUAAAACUAAGAUGAUAUUUAAGUUAAAUUAUAUUAACUGACACCCCACUACUAUGAUCGUAGGCUAGUCAUUUCCAUGGGACAUGCAAACUAGUUAUACUAAAAAAUGCAAACUAGUUAUACUAUAUUGGUUACAAAUUUACAAUUCUCUAACAACUUUGUGCCAUUUUUGGACUAUUUGUUAAAACUAAGAUGAUAUUUAAGUUAAAUUAUAUUAACUGACACCCCACUGCUAUGAUCGUAGGCUAGUCAUUUCCAUCGGACAUGCAAACUAUUUAUACUAAAAAAUGCAAACUAGUUAUACUAUAUUGGUUACAAGUUUACAAUUCUCUAACAACUUUGUGCCAUUUUUGGACUAUUUGUUAAANNNNNNNNNNNNNNNNNNNNNNNNNNNNNNNNNNNNNNNNNNNNNNNNNNNNNNNNNNNNNNNNNNNNNNNNNNNNNNNNNNNNNNNNNNNNNNNNNNNGGGACAUGCAAGUUGAUCGUCCUGUCAUGCAAUUAGUCUAUGAAGUCUACGCGGUGCUAGUAUUCUGAUAUACAUUGCGGGUCUGGUUAUUCUAUUUUCUUGUAGUGUAGUAUGACCAGUCAAGUGUUCACAUGUAUAUUUAAUUUUCCAUGUUGGCAGGGUUGCGUGUUAGAAAAAGGCAUAUCUAUAUAUGCACGUCAUUACGGCAGGGUUGCCUAGCUAGCUGUACGUGUGAUGGAUGAACUAGGAUAUACUAAUGUGGAUUCAUCCAGAACUUGCUAUCUCAAGCUGUCUGAAUUUCACAUAUUGUUGGUGUUUCACUAAUCACAUAAAGAUACUACUUGUAAAUUAGUACUUCCUCGGUUCCUGAAUAUAAGUUUUUUUUCUUCAAAUAUUCUACUAAGAACUACAUGCCAAUAAAAAUAAAUGAAUCUAUAAUUUAAAUUAUGUCUAUAUACAUCCGUAUAUAGUUCGUAGUAAAAUAUCUAGNNNNNNNNNNAAAUAUUCUACUAUGAACUACAUACCAAUAAAAAUAAAUGAAUCUACAAUUCAAAUUAUGUCUAUAUACAUCCGUAUAUAGUUCGUAGUAAAAUAUCUAGAAACACUUAUAUUUAGAAAUGGAGGGAGUAUAAUACAUUUAUUCUAGAUCACUAGUCUAUGUCUAUACUUAUUAAUAAAAGGAUAAAUGUCUCUACCCGUCCGUCGUACCUUUUGGAAACAAAUAAACCCAAUUGUUUCUUGAAAUCAACGCACGGUCCUGAUUUUAAGUGAAUCUUAAAUUUUUUUUGUAUUUUACUAAAAACUUCCUAACCUUUCGGUUAAACGACCUACUGUCCUGUUUUAAGUGAGUCCNNNNNNNNNNUCACGGUCCUGAUUUUAAGUGAAUCUUAAAAAUAUUUUGUAUUUUACUAAAAACAUCCUAACCUUUCGGUUAAACGACCUACUGUCCUGUUUUAAGUGAGUCCAGAAAAUCUUCUAUGUUUUCUAGAAACCCCUUGAUAUUUCGUUCCAUAAACCUAAAGUCAAUAGUCCGAUUAAAGAACUAUGUAGACAUGUCCCGAGGUACUCCUCGGUCAAUAUCCAAUAGCGGUACCUGGAUGCCCAUAUUGGAUCCUACAUAUUCUCCGAAGAUCUUAUCGGUUGAACCUCAGUGUCAAGGAUUCAUAUAAUCCCGUAUGUCAUUCUCUUUGUCCUUCGGUAUGUUACUUGCCCGAGAUUCGAUCGUCGGUAGCCGCAUACCUAUUUCAUUCUCGUUACCGGCAAGUCUCUUUACUCGUUCCGUAAUACAAGAUCCCGUGACUUACACUUAGUCACAUUACUUGCAAGGCUUGUGUGUGAUGUUGUAUUAUCAAGUGGGCCUCGAGAUACCUCUCCGUCACACGGAGUGACAAAUCCCAGUCUUGAUCCAUACUAACUCAACAGACACCUUCGGAGAUACCUGUAGAACACCUUAUAGUCACCCAGUUACGUUGUGACGUUUGAUGCGCACAAGGUAUUCCUUCGGUGCUAGUGAGUUAUAUGAUCUCAUGGUCAUAGAAACAAGUACUUGACACACAGAAAACAAUAGCAAUAAAAUGACACGAUCAAUAUGCUACGUAUAUAAUUUGGGUCUUGUCCAUCACAUGAUUCUCCUAAUGAUGUGAUCCCGUUAUCAAGUGACAACACUUGCCUAUGGUCAGGAAACCUUGACCAUCUUUGAUCAACGAACUAGUCAACUAGAGGCUCACUAGGAACAGUGUGUUGUCUAUGUAUCCUCACAUGUAUUUGAGUUUCCAAUCAAUACAAUUCUAUCAUGGAUAAUAAAAGAUUAUUAUGAACAAGGAAAUAUAAUAAACUAAUUUAUUAUUGUCUCUAGGGUAUAUUUCCAACAAUAUAUACCAACUCACUACGAGGUCAACAUAUUCGCUACUUGACUAGGUAUUUAGAUAUAUACGUACAUCAAAGUAAGUGAAGUAGUAUAUUUACACACCAGUUUUAAUCUGAUCCACAUAAUCAUGCAUACUUAGGGUCAUACAUGACAAUGCUGUAGAAAAACAUACAUGAUUACAUCAGUAACAAUUUCUCCUACAAUUUGUUCAAUGGGAUCAUGCCAUCCUUAUGAAGUAAGGUCAUUUCAUCACCAUACUUCUUUGAACCGGAAACAAGGAGCCUAAACCUAUCAAAUAUGCAUCUCGGACUGAGAGAAAAUCCAGCCAUAAAAACAUAACCACCUGGGUUGAGCAGGAGAGGAUGGAGCCAUGCAUGGGAGGGGAGAAGAUUGUCGUAUUAGCUCCGAUUUUGCCAAUAGCCAUGCCUUGAAGUUUUGCCUGCCGCUCGUCCCCUACCUCGUCCUUCCCCUCCUAACAAAUGAGGCCCUGACCGGUCAGGAGAAGGCAGACGAUGUGGUUCGACGUGCAGAAAAACCAUGAGAAAAGCCCCACUGAUGUGACAUGCCAGUUGGACUUUACAAUUGAGACCCAUCGGUCAAAACGCUCACAAAAUUUUAAGCAAGGUAAAUUAUGGCAACAUUUUUGCUAAAUGGAUUAAAACAGAUGAAAUCGCGUUAAAUCGGGUAACUAGUGUCAAAAAUAUUAAAAUAGAAGGUAAAAACCGGAAUUCACUCUUUUUAUUAUUAUGUGUGUCCUUCUAUGAACAUGUGAGUCAGUUAGAUGCCACAACAAGAUACAACAAUGGAUGAUUUGUACAUAUUCACUAUAGAAUACAUUAUGCUAACUUAAGUAGCGAAUUGAGCAUAGGUAAAAUAGUUAGCUUACUUGUGGUGGAAUCAGACCACCAGUUAGACUUGACACCAAUGCUCAAAAUUUUCUAUAUUUAUUCAACUCUCUCCUUAAUAAGUUUGAACUGCUUACCACAAAUGUCACAUGGCGAUGUUCGUUCAGUUAAAGAAGAUGUUUCCAUCUAUCAUUAAACGUCUCUGAUGACUUCGUCAAUCUCAAAUGUUGUGCUAACUCAAUAUCUCGGAGGCCCUAGUAGAUAUAGGAUGCGUGUGUAUGUUCAUAUAGGUGAGUGUAUGUAUAUGUACGUGAGCGCAUCUGCCAUUGUAUAUAUAAAAAAAAACUAUGCGUGCAUGCACUUAUGACAUCUACGAGUGUACGUCUUGCCUUGCGGGAUAAUCAGUAGUACGAUGCAUGCAUCCUUUAAUUUUUUAUGGAUCAGCUAGAACGUCAAGAUGUAAAAGGUGACAUUGAAGAAGAAGAAAAUCUUCAGCAAGAUUUUUAGUUUUAUCAAGGAUCAUCNNNNNNNNNNNNNNNNNNNNNNNNNNNNNNNNNNNNNNNNNNNNNNNNNNNNNNNNNNNNNNNNNNNNNNNNNNNNNNNNNNNNNNNNNNNNNNNNNNNNNNNNNNNNNNNNNNNNNNNNNNNNNNNNNNNNNNNNNNNNNNNNNNNNNNNNNNNNNNNNAGCUGGCAUAUCACUAGUCGACUUAACCCAACUUGAACAACCUUUCUAUUCCAGGUACGUGUACAAGUAUGUAUAUCCUUUUACAAUAUGCAAAUCAUGCAUUUAGAUACCAUAACGUGAUACAAUGACAUUGAUCAAUCAUAAGCUUAUAAAGCAUGCAUGCAUGAGCGAGGGAGCCCAUGCAAACGCCUGACAUAUGAACUGUAACAGUGCGCGCGUAUGACAUGCAAUAGCUACGAGUAAAUCGAUGGAUAGAUGGAUCACAUGGGGCAGGUGAAGUUGGCGGGGCACUUCUUGCCGCACUGGUUGAGUNNNNNNNNNNGGUUCGAUUUGAAAUUGUCCAUUAAGAUGAAACCAAUAUAGGAUUUAAUCUUCCCAGCCACACGAUGCGGAUGAUGCAAAUUCUCACCAUUUCUUAUAUUAUUUCUUUUAUCCGAGAUGUGCCAUAUAGCCACAGUAAAGUACAAUGCGUGAAGAUCUGGUGCAACAUUUAUCCAUUCUAGCAAUCAUUGAUGAAUAUUGAUAAACCUUUUUAGAUUUAGCACGAUAUGAAAAGACCUUUCAUAGUUUGCCCAAAAAUUCUUUGACAUAAUGGGAAAAGAAGAAACAAUGUUCCACAGUCUCAACUCUAUUACAGAUAAAACACUCAUACCUCGUAGGAAAUGUUCCACAGUUUCAUCAAUGUUCCUCACCAGUAGGUAAAAAAUUACGAACCAUUCUCCAUAAGAUGAUCUUCAUUCUAUUUGGACUUUGUAUUUCGAGUUUUUGCUCUAUAUUUUUCCUGUUUCCUCCAUGUUCGAGGCUGAUCCUCUUCCAUCAGAGCUCUAGUACAUCCAGAACGAUAAGGAUUUUGCAAGGUUAUACCGAGACAAUAUAGUGUAGGUGCCUCCAUUCGUGUAUGGCCAUGAUGCGAAAUCUCAGCACCCUUAUGAACUUAGAGGGAUCUUUAGGAUCUUUACAACCAGGUUUUUUGGAAACAUUUCACUAACAACCACACUGUUUCAUGAUUUACCAUCAGUUAAAAACAAAUGGUUCGCAGUCUUAUCCUCCUCCACCGGGAAAUUUGUACAAAGUAUGCCACGAAAUGAGUGUGGGAUCCAAUUAUCUUAAAUCAAAGAUAUUUGCUUUCCGUCUCCUAAUUGCAAGAAUAAGCCGUUUUGAAGGAGUUUCUUACCAAAUAAUAUGCUGCGCCAUGUGUGGGAAGCUGAUCUUGGGCAUCCUGAUCUCCAAAAAUCUCCAUGCGGGAAAUACCUUCCUUCUAAUACCUUGAAGCAUAAUGAAUUGGGGUUCACUAAGAGCCUACAGCACUGCUUUGCAAGCAUGGCUUGAUUAAAAAUCACCAAGUCCCUGAAUCCCAUUCCUCCAAGAUACUUGGGCGAGGAUAGCCAAUUAGAGGACCUCCAAUGAAUUUUUUCCUCCCAUCUUCCAUUCCCCACCAUACUGGAGAUAGGUCUAUUCAUGUUCUCACAUAUUGAUAUUGGAAUUUGGAAGCAGCACAUUACAUAUGUCCGGAUGGCUUGAGCCACCGACUUUAGAAGUACUUCUCUACCUUCUCUGGAUAACAGUCUUAUCAUUCCACCCAUUUAAUAUCCUCCAUAGCCUCCGAGUGAGGAAAUUAAAAUUGCUUGUUGUAGAGCAUCCCACCCAAGAAGGCAUGCCAAGGUAAGUGGCUUGUAGAGACUCAUCUCGGACUCCUACCAUGUUCUUUACUCGUUCCUUCACCCGAUUGUCACAAUGAUGUCCAAAGAAGAUAUAUGACUUGUGCAAGUUGAUUUUCUGACUAGAGCCUUUGUAGUACGUCUCAAGAGCGAUUUUAAGUAUGUUUGUGCUUCUAUUGUCGCCCUUCACAAAAAAUAUGCUAUCAUCAUCAAAUAAGAGGUGGUAAAUAGGAUNNNNNNNNNNUUGAUGUCCAAAGAAGAUAUAUGACUUGUGCAAGUUGAUUUUCUGACCAGAGCCUUUGUAGUAGGUCUCAAGAGCAAUUUUAAGUAUGUUUGUGCUUCUAUUGUCUCCCGUCACAAAAAAUAUGCUAUCAUCAUCAAAUAAGAGGUGGUAAAUAGGAUGGCCUGCUUUUCUGUUCUUGAUUUCUCUAAUGUCCCUUAUUGCUUCUUUUAACUGUAGAAGACAAGAUAAACCUUCAGGACAUAAUAAAAAUAAGUAUGGGCUGAUGGGAUCACCCUGACAUAUGCCUCUAGUAGGUAUGAAAGGGCCAGUUAAGUUCCCAUUUACUUUGACUGCAUAUUGUAUAGAGGUCACACACCUCAUCACCGAUUCUAACUAGUUUCAAAUAAAGCCAAAUUUAACAAGAACCCCUUUCAAAUAAGGCCAUUCAACUCUAUCAUACACUAGUAGAAAAGAGGGCUUUGGUCCACUUGAUAAAAUCCCAUUAGUCUUGGGCCGACCCAUGUGGGAGGCGGGACACCAAUGUUUUUUUUUUAUAUAUUUCCUUUUUUCUUUUCUGUAUUUGUAUUUUCUAUUUUAAAAUAAUUCAGGAUUACAAAAUGUUUCCAUUUUCAGGAAAUAGAGAAAUAAAAAUAUUUUGAGAAAUCAUAAAUAUUCGUGAAUUCGUGAAAUGUGCAUGUUUUUGAAAAACAUUUGGGAAGUCAUAAAAUUUUCAAAUUUAAAAGAAUUCAUGAUUUUCAAACAAAUCUUUGCAUAUUCAAAGAUCUUUCAUGNNNNNNNNNNGAAAUCCCAUUAGUCUUGGGCCGACCCAUGUGGGAGGCGGGACACCACUGUUUUUUUUAUAUAUUUUUCCUUUUUUUCUUUUCUGUAUUUGUAUUUUCUAUUUUAAAAUAAUUCAAGAUUAUAAAUUUUUUCCAUUUUCAGGAAAUAGAGAAAUAAAAAUAUAUUUGAGAAAUCAUAAAUAUUCGUGAAUUCAUGAAAUGUGCAUGUUUUUUAAAAACAUUUGGGAAGUCAUAAAAUUUUCAAAUUUAAAAUAAUUCAUGAUUUUCAAACAAAUCUUUGCAUAUUCAAAGAUCUUUCAUGAUUUUGAAAAAAAGUCCGGGAAAGAAAUAAAGUGUGUGGGUUCAAAAACAAUUAUUAAAGAUGGAAGAAGUUCAUGAAUUAAAACAAUAUUCACGAUUCUGUAAAAAAUGUCCAUAAAAAAUGUAUUUCAGUUUAAAUUGUCCCUGAAUUUCGAAGUUCAUCNNNNNNNNNNAAAAAGUGUGUGGGUUCAAAAACAAUUCUUAAAGAUGGAAGAAGUUCAUGAAUUAAAACAAUAUUCAUGAUUCUGUAAAAAAUGUCCGUAAAAAAUGUAUUUCAGUUUAAAUUGUCCCUGAAUUUCGAAGUUCAUCAAUUGAAAAGAGGUUUGCUGAAUGAAAGUAUGUUCAUGGUUUUCAAAAACAAAUUUAUUAAAAAAAUUGUGAUCUUCAAAAAGUUUUUCCAAAAUAUAAAAAUAUUUAUCAAUUCAAAACAAUUGGUUUAACUUUAAAAAAAUGUUCAUGAUUUCAAAUAAUGUCCGAGAAUAUGCAAAAAAUACGAAUAUAAAAAAUGUACACGUUUCAAAACAUGUCCAUAAAUUGAAAAAAUGUUUAUGAUUUCCAAAUGUGUUCACAAUUUUGAUAUUUUUUCAAUAUUUGUUUUUUUUGAAAAAGACAGGAAAAUUGAAAUUGGAAAUAAUGAAAAAUAUAAUAAAANNNNNNNNNNUCACGUUUCAAAACAUGUCCAUAAAUUGAAAAAAUAUUCAUGAUUUCGAAAUGUGUUCACAAUUUUGAUUUUUUUUUCAAUAUUUGUUUUUUUAAAAAGACAGGAAAAUUGAAAUUGGAAAUAAUGAAAAAUAUAAUAAAAGGCAAACAAGAAAAAAAAUGAGAAAUGAAAAAUUAAAAUGAAAAUGACAUAAUAAAAGAAAAUCAAAAAUAGAAAAGAAAGUGGAAAAGGAGAAAUACGAAAAUGAGAAAGAUAUAGAAAAAUAAAAAGAAGCAACAAAGAAGAAGAAAAUAAAAACUGACUCAACGAAGGUUCUAGAACUUCCGCCAACUGAAAAGAAAAAAAACUAGACUAGGAUGGUCCAAACGCGGGACAAUCUCGGGAGGGGGCUAUGCACCAGCUUGCUAUAGAGCGACCUACAUGCCAAAUNNNNNNNNNNUACUUCCGCCAACUGAAAGGAAAAAAAAUAGACUAGGAUGGUCCAAACGCGGGACAAUCUCAGGAGGGGGCUAUGCACCAGCUUGCUAUAGAGCGACCUACAUGCCAAAUUGGAACAAGAAAGCAAGACAUAGUCAUGCCACAUACGCUUGGUUGUCUCAUGGCAAUCGACAGGUAGCCCCUUGACUAUGUGCCAAGCCACACAUGUAGGUUGUAUCACUAAAGGCUUAAUUAUUCAGCCCGGCGUCAUCGCGCACUUGAGUAUUUCUUUCCUGUGUGGUCUAGAUGGGCUUGAUUUGUGGUCGUGGAUGACACCGUGAAGACCUCUUAUGGCAAGGCCAAGUGCACCGUACUCAUCCAGGCCUCGUAUGAAUAACCUCUUUUUCCUCUUAAUUCUCUUGUUUUAAUACUUCUCCUAGUUUCUAAUUUCUUCUUGUUUCGAAAUUUCAGACAAGCAUGGCAGGUUUGGGCUUGAUCUGAAGAUUUUCUUCCUCGGACCGUAACAGAAUUUGGUUUGUUCAAGAAGCUCAAGUAAGUCUUCUUUUUACCAGCAAAAGAAAGAAGCUCAUGUAAGUAUUUUUCUUAAGAUCUUUUAACCCAAGAAAGGAUAUGUGUCCUUGUUGCUCAAUCGUUUUUCCGAUCUCCGACUAAGACAUCCUGAUAAGAACGGCGCCCAAAUAUUUCACAUGAACAUGGUUCCUAUAUACAAGCUAUACAUUAUGUUUCAAAAGUAUGACAUAUAUAAAUAUGCCAAGUUCUGUUGCUUUCAUGCUUAGCACNNNNNNNNNNGAUCCUGACAAGAACGGGGCCCAAAUGUUUCACAUGACCAUGGUUCCUAUAUACAAGCUAUACAUUAUGUUUCAAAAAUAUGACAUAUAUAAAUAUGCCAAGUUCUGUUGCUUUCAUGCUUAGCACCUUUGGUUAACACCCCCAGGAUAGCAGGUAUACAUUUUUAACCAGGGUAGUUAUAAUUAAUCUUUUUUGCUUCCGAGCACCCAUUGUAUAUAGAGAGAUUUACACUAGGAUGUCAAUACCAUCUGUAUAUUUUGUUGUUGUUGACACUGCCUUAUCAAACUAAAUAAACAAAAANNNNNNNNNNNNNNNNNNNNNNNNNNNNNNNNNNNNNNNNNNNNNNNNNNNNNNNNNNNNNNNNNNNNNNNNNNNNNNNNNNNNNNNNNNNNNNNNNNNNUCCGACGGCCACCUUCAUGGAUAUGUUCUUGAAUUUCUGAUGAAGUUCACAUGAUGUUGAAUCCUUGAUUCCAUCCACGGGGUAGCCGGGACCGCCCUCUAUCAUUCUUCGUUCAUCGGCGGGCGGGGCCUCAGAUUCAGCCACGCUGCUUUUCCGCUUAGAUGGGGCACCGGUAAUAUCAAGUGCAGGAUCUUCCUGGCGCGGUACUCCUCUAAGCUCAUCAAUCUUCUUCUGUUGCUCGUUAAUCCUGGCAAGCAACUGGUUGAACUUGUCAUUCUCCUCAUCCUGCUUCCGCUUCUGUGCUCUCUCUCGGCUUCUGUAAGUGUCUUGGUCUCUGGCAAACCCAAGCCACCACGGGUAAGAUGGACCGAAGCCUCGCAUUCGUCCUCCAUGUUCGUCAUUGCCGAGGACCAGUGUGAGCAAAUCUUUAUCUCUAUCUGCAGUGAACUUUCUUUGUCCCUCCUUAAUUUCUUUCACUAUCCUUUUCCAAUUCUCCCUGGGUAUCCUAAGAUUGUCAUUGCAGAUGAGGUCCCCUGUUUUUUCGUCGCACGACCCACCAUGCGCAAGGAACCAAUUUCUUGCUCUCCAUUCCCACUCAUCACGGAGUGGUUCAGGUACGAUGCCUUUAUCUAUCAGAUCUUGCUCUUUCUUUUCCCACUUUGGGAUCGCAGUCUCAUAGCCCCCUGGCCCCAGCUUGUGGUUAUAUAUCUUCUUGUCGGCAUUUAUCUUGUUCUUUUCUGAUAAUGCCUGGGCAUNNNNNNNNNNCCCUGGCCCCAGCUUGUGGUGAUAUUUCUUCUUGUCGGCAUUUAUCUUGUUCUUUUCUGAUAAUGCCUGGGCAUCUUCUCACUCCUUGUACUCUUGAAAUUCCUUCCAGUGAUUCGCAUGCUUGGCUAGAUACCCCUCGAAUACUGGCACUUUCUUUGUCGUCAGAUAGUUUUUCCAUAGCUUCUUCUUCCAGCUACGGAAUAGUUCGGCCAUCUUCUUUAGAGUCGACUGCUUGACUUUGGCCCUCAGUUUGUCUGCGGCGUCUUCAUUCUCACAUUCUGGCAGGUUGAAAUGUGACAUGAUAUCAUUCCAAAGACUAUCUUUGUACCUUUCGACGACAUAGUCACUAUCGGCUGCCCCUUUGCGCUUGUUCCACUCCCGAACGCUGAUCGGGACGUGAUACCUAACGAGAACUCCGCAUUGCUUCUUGAAUGUGUCAGCAUCAUUCUUAGGAAGCUUGGGUUCACCCGUAGGCAUUAUCAGCUCAAAGGUGUAAUGCGUCNNNNNNNNNNNNNNNNNNNNNNNNNNNNNNNNNNNNNNNNNNNNNNNNNNNNNNNNNNNNNNNNNNNNNNNNNNNNNNNNNNNNNNNNNNNNNNNNNNNNNNNNNNNNNNNNNNNNNNNNNNNNNNNNNNNNNNNNNNNNNNNNUGGAGGCCUAAGAGGGAGAAACAUUCGUCAAAUGAAUGUAUAUGUAUAGAAUAUAGAGCUAUCUCCAAUAUUUUUCACAUAUUACAAGUGAUUGUCGAACUUCAUAUGUAUACCUCGCCGGACUUUAUUAUUUCUUCACCGGCUUAUCCACCGGCUUCUUCAUCAGUGGAGCUAUCACCUUCUCCAUCAUUGGACCUAUCUCCUUUUUCUUCUUUUCUUCUCCUUUUUCUUCUUUUCUUCUCCUUUUUCUUCUUUUCUUCUCUUUUUCCUUCCUUUCUUCUCCUUUUUCUUCUUUUCUUCUCUUUUUCCUUCCUUUCUUCUCCUUUUUCUUCUUUUCUUCUCUUUUUUCUUCUUUGCUUGUGCUGGCCGGAGUGUUGGGGAGGAGGGGGCAUGGGGCUUACCGGCCGGAGGUGUCGACGGCGCGCGGCGAGGAGGACGGCGGCGCGCGGCGAGGAGGACGGGGCGACUCGCGGCGAGCAGGACGGCGGCGGCGAGUANNNNNNNNNNGCCCCAUCGGCUUCAUCUUCGUGUCGCUCGACCUCCAUUCCAUAUCCAUAGUCGUUUAGAUAUGACGUCGGAGAUUCAGCUGGUUCAACGUCGGGGCCGUCUUUGAUUAUAUCUUCGAGAAGUUCUUCCUCUUCGAGGUUCCUGAUAUGUGGAUCCAUAGUUCUGCAAAAAACGGACAUUUGAUUAACUAAUAAACUAACAAACUAUAUAAGAGGGGUUGGAAACUUCGAAGGCUCGUUUUAUAUAGGAGGACCUUUAGUCCCGGGUCUUGGCUAGAACCUAAACUCUAAAAUACCAGCCGGGCGGAGCCCAGUCCCGGACACUUAAGCAUAUACAAUAGCAAAAUUAAACUAGUUCUAUUAAUUUUCUUGCUAAAAAUAAACUAUUAACACUUAAGCAUAUACAAUAGAAAAAUUAAACUAUUAACAAUUAAGCAUAUACAAUAGCAAAAUUAAGCAAUAAUCUAAGAAACACUAUUAACACUUAAGCAUAUACACUAUACAAUAGCAAAAUUAAAUGACAAAAAAAAUAGUUCUUCUUCUUGUAACCCUAAACUAAUUUUUCCUCUUCUUCUAUUUGUCCUCUUCUUCUACUUCUUCUUCUACUUCUACUUCUCCUCUUCUUCUACUACUUCUCCUCUCCUCUUCUUCUAUUUUUCCUCUUCUUCUCCUCUCCUCCUCUUCUUAUUCUCCUUUUUCUUCUUUUCUUCUCCUCCUCUUCUUAUUCUCCUUUUUCUUCCUUUCUUCUCCUUUUUCUUCCUUUCUUCUAUUUUUCUUCCUUUCUUCUCCUUUUUCUUCCUUUCUUCUCCUUUUUCUUCUUUUCUUCUCCUUUUCCUUCCUUUCUUCUCCUUUUUCUUCUUUUCUUCUCUUUUUUAUUCCUUUCUUCUCCUUUUUCUUCCUUUCUUCUCCUUUUUCUUCUUUGCUUGUGCUGGCCGGAGUGUUGGGGAGGAGGGGGUGUGGGGCUUACCGGCCGGAGGUGUCGACGGCGUGCGGCGAGGAGGACGGCGGCGAGCGGCGAGGAGGACGGCGGCGCGCGGCGAGGAGGGCGGCGCGCGGCGAGCAGGACGANNNNNNNNNNNNNNNNNNNNNNNNNNNNNNNNNNNNNNNNNNNNNNNNNNNNNNNNNNNNNNNNNNNNNNNNNNNNNNNNNNNNNNNNNNNNNNNNNNNNCCCGAGUGCGACUUUUAGUGCACACUCGGAGAAAGUUAAUACUUAGGCGAUUCUNNNNNNNNNNGAGUGUAUCUGUAGGAUACACUCGAAGGCAAUUGAGUACUUAGGCGAUUCGUGAUCGCGGCUAAGUCUUCGAGUGCGACUGUAAGGUCGUGCUCAGAGCGAGUUUUUACUCAUGUAAUUGUUAGUGGUGUUGACAUCUACAUGAGCCUCAAUGAGGUUCUGCUACUCAUGUAAUUGUCAGUUGUCUUGACAUCUACAUGAGCCUCACUGAGGGUCUGUUGAGUCCCCAAGUUUAUCUGUAGGAUACACUCAAAGGCAAUUGAGUACUUAGGCGAUUCUGAUCGCGGCUAAGUCUUUGACUGCGACUGUAAGGUCGUGCUCGGAGCGAGUUGUUACUCAUGUAAUUGUCAGUGGUCUUGACAUCUACAUGAGCCUCAAUGAGGUUCUGCUACUCAUGGAAUUGUCAGUUGUCUUGACAUCUACAUGAGCCUCACUGAGGGUCUGUUGAGUCCCCNNNNNNNNNNNNNNNNNNNNNNNNNNNNNNNNNNNNNNNNNNNNNNNNNNNNNNNNNNNNNNNNNNNNNNNNNNNNNNNNNNNNNNNNNNNNNNNNNNNNAGUCUACACUUCUUAAUAUGUCCGAUAGAAAUAUUAAGAUUGAGGCUGAGAAGAAGGUGCAAACUCUUCUCACAGAGAGGAGAUGAAAUGGGCCCUUUGAGCAAAGGUGGCGAAGGUGGACCAUGGAGAUGAUAAAACACAAUUCUUUCACAUGAUUGGGAAUGGCAAACAUAGGAAGAAGAAAAUAAUUCUACUUGAACACGAUGAUGAUACAAUUGUAGGAAAUGAGAACCUAAAAUUGUACAUCUUCGAGUAUUAUAAGAAACUUUUUGGUGCACCCGAAGAGAAUUUUGUUUUUCUGGAUUAGAGCACAACAAGUGACAUUCCUCAACCCAGUUCAGAUGAGAACGAGAUUUUGUCAGCCCCAUUUACGGAUGAAGAGAUGUUUGACGCAAUAUCACAAAUGAAGCAAAAUAAGGCACCGGGACCAGAUGGGUUUCUGAUGGAAUUUUAUAAAAAGUGUUGGCAUAUUAUUAAAGAUGAUAUUUGCAUAUGUUCCAUGAUUUGUUUAAUGGGUAUUUACAUCUAUUCCACCUUAACUUUGGAAUAAUAAUGGUGUUUCUAAAGAAGGUGGAGGCUAUUCGCAUUGAGAAGAUCAGGCUGACUGCUCAAUGCCAGCUUCAAAAAAUUUACAAAGGUUGGCACGAAUAGGUUGACAAAGAUAGCCCAUUCCGUAGUCCAAUCGACCGAGACAACUUUCAUGCAUGGAAGACAUAUCCUAGAAGGGUUCAUUGUUUUGCAUGAAAAGUUGCAUGAAAUACAUAAAAAGAAACUUGAUGGGCUUAUCUUUAAAGUGGAUCUCAAGAAGGCGUACGAUAAGGUCAAAUGGCCAUUUCUUCAACAAGCCUUGUGUAUGAAGGGAUUCAACGAAUCCUAGAGGGAUCAUGUGGGUGCUUUCAUUUAGAAAGGUAGAGUUGGGAUUAAAAUUAAUGAUGACAUAGCUCAUUAUUUUUAGACUCAUAAGGGAUUGAGGCACGGAGAUUUCAUGUCUCCCUUGUUGUUCAACAUAGUAGCAGAUAUGUUGGCACUCCUUAUUGAUCGGGCUAAAGAGAAUGGCCAAGUAGGAGGACUUCCUUGGGGAACGUCGCAUGGGAAACAAAAAAUUUCCUACGCGCACUAAUACGUCCAUUUUGCAUCAUUCUUUCAUGUUGAUAUUUAUUGUUUUUUCGGAUUUUAUAUUACUUCUGGUAGCAUAUUUAUGCCUCUUCUCUCUUAUUUUGCAAGGCUUAUUUGAAGAGGGAGAAUUCAGGCAGCUGGAAUUCAGGACUGGAAAAGGAGCAAAUCCUAGUCCACUAUUCUGCACAUCUCCAAAUACCCUGAAAAUUUACGUGGAUUUUUUCUGGAAUAUAUUAAAAAUACUGGGCGAAAGAACUACCGGAGGGGUCCACCAGGGCCCCACAAGCCCCCACUCCGCCACCAACCCCCCUGGUGGCGGUGGGCAAGCUUGUGUGCUGCCUGAAGGCCCACUAGCCCCCCUCUUUUGCUAUGUGAAGCGUCCUGACCUGGGAAAAAUCAUACGGGAGCUUUUUCGUGGUUUCGCCGUCGCCACGAGGCGGAACUUGAGCACAUCCAAUCUAGAGCUCCGGUAGGACGAUCCCGCCAGGGAAAUUUCCCUCCCGGAGGGGGGGAAUCGUCGCCAUCGUCAUCACCAACACUCCUCUCGUCGGAGGGGAGUCAUCUUCAUCAACAUGUUCAUCAGCACCAUCUCCUCUCCAAUCCCUAGUUCAUCUCUUGUAAUCAAUCUUCGUCUCGCGACUCCGAUUGGUACUUUUAAGGUUGCUAGUAGUGUUGAUUACUCUUUGUAGUUGAUGCUUGUUGGAUUACUUGGUGGAAGAGUUGAUGUUCAUAUCCUUGAUGCUAUUCAUUACACCUCUGGUCAUGAUUAUGAUUAUGUCUUGUGAGUAGAUACUUUUGUUCGUGAGGACAUGGGAUAAGUCAUGCUGAUAAUAGUCAUGUGAAUUUGAUAUUCGUUCGGUAUUAUGAUAUGAUGUAUGUUGUUUUCCCUCUAGUGGUGUUAUGUGAACGUCGACUACAUAACACUUCACCAUGUUUGGGCCUAGAGGAAGGCAUUGGGAAGUAGUAAGUAGAUGAUGGGUUGCUGGAGUGACACAAGCUUAAACCCCAGUUUAUGCGUUGCUUCGUGAGGGGCUGAUUUGGAUCCACUAGUUUAAUGCUAUGGUUAGACUUUGUCUUAAUUCUUCUUUUGUAGUUGCGGAUGCUUGCGAGAGAGGUUAAUCAUAAGUGGAUGCUUUUCCAAGUAAGGGCAGUACCCAAGCGCCGGUCCACCCACAUAUCAAACUAUCAAAGUAACGAACGUGAAUCAUAUGAACAUGAUGAAACUAGCAUGACAGAAAUUCCCGUGUGUCCUCGGGAGCGUUUUUCCUCCUAUAAGACUUUGUUCAGGCUUGUCCCUUGCUACAAAAGGGAUUGGGACACUUGCUGCACUGUUUCUACUACUUGUUACUUGUUACUCUUUGCUUGCUACGUUUCACCUCGCUACACAAUCACCUAUUACCGCUACUUUCAGUGCUUGCAGUUAUUACCUUGCUGAAAUCCGUUUAUCACAGCCUUCUGCUCCUCGUUGGGUUCGACACUCAUACUUAUCGAAAGGACUAUGAUUGAUCCCCUAUACUUGUGGGUCAUCAAGACUCUUUUCUGGCGCCGUUGCCGGGGAGUGAAGCGCCUUUGGUAACUGGAAAUUGGUAAGGAAACAUUUAUAUACUAUGCUGAAAUUUAUUGUCACUUGUCACUAUGGAAACUCUUCCUUUGAGGAGUUUGUUCGGGGUAUAUUCACCACGAACGGAAGCACGAGGAGUUGCUCCUCAACCUGAGGUACCUACUGAAAAUAUCUUUUAUGAAAUUGCUUUGGGUAUGCUUGAGAAACUGCUGGCUAAUCCUUUCACAGGAGAUGGAUCUUCACAUCCAGACUUUCAUCUAAUCUAUGUAGAUGAAGUUUGUGGUUUAUUUAAGCUUGCAGGUUUGCCCGAGGAUGAGGUAAAUAAGAAAGUCUUUCCUUUAUCUUUGAAGGAUAAGGAGUUGACAUGGUAUAGGCUAUGUGAUGAUGAUGGAUCAUGGGGCUACAAUCGGUUGAAAUUGGAAUUUCAUCAAAAGUUCUAUCCUAUGCAUUUAGUACAUCGUGAUCGGAACUUUAUUUAUAACUUUUGGCCUCGUGACAGGGAAAGCAUAGCUCAAGCUUGGGGAGGCUUAAAUCAAUGAUAUAUUCAUGCCCCAAUCAUGAGCUCUCGAGAGAAAUCAUCACUCAAAACUUUUAUGCUCGGCUUUCUCAUGAAGAUCGUACCAUGCUUGACACUUCUUGUGCCGAUUCUUUUAUGAAGAAGGAUAUUGAUCACAAGUGGAAUUUAUUGGAGAGAAUCAAACGCAACUCCGAAGAUUGGGAGUUGGAGGAAGGUAAGGACUCAGGUAUGAAUUUCCAGUUUGAUUGCGUUAAAUCUUUUGUUGAGACAAACACUUCUAGAGAUUUUAGCGCUAAGUAUGGACUUGACUCUGAGAUAGUAGCAUCUCUUUGUGAAUCUUUUGCUGCUCAUGUUGAACUUCCCAAAGAGAAGUGGCAUCCUCCUGUAGAAAGCAACAUAGCCUAAACCAAUCUAGUUGAGGAGAAAAUCAUAGCUUUUAGUGAUCCUGUUGUUCCUUGUGCUUACACUAAGAAACCACCAUCCCCUGCUAGAAUGAAGGAUUAUUCUAAAGCUCCAACUGUGAUAUGUAGGGGUUACAUUAGACCACUUGCACCCCCUGAGGAGAUUAGAGUUGAACCUAGUGUUGCUAUUAUCAAAGAUCUCUUAGCCGAAGACAUAGAUGGGCAUGUUAUUAAAUUCUGUGAGGACUCUGCUAGAAUUGCUAAACCUCACGCGAAAGACAAGCAUGGACCUGUAGUUGGCCUUCUCGUUGUUUCUGUUAAGAUAGGAGAUCACUGCUACCAUGGUUUAUGUGAUAUGGGAGCUAGUGUUAUUGCAAUACCCCGUUAUCUCUAUGAUGAAAUCAAAGAUGAGAUUGCACCUGCUGAGAUAGAAUCCAUUGAUGUCACUAUCACGCUAGCUAAUAGAGACACUAUCUGCCCUUUGGGAAUUGUGAGAGACGUAGAAGUCCUGUGUGGUAAGACGAAGUAUCCUACUGAUUUCCUCCUCCUCGGUACUGCACAAGAUAGCUUUUGUCCCAUCAUAUUUGGUAGACCCUUUCUCAACACUGUCAAUGCUCACAUUGAUUGCAUUAAGCAGACUGUCACAGUAAGUUUUGAGGGUGUGUCUCAUGAAUUUAACUUCUCCAAGUUUGGAAGACAACCCCAUGAAAGAGAGUCGUCUGGUAGAGAUGAAAUCAUUUCUCUUGCCUCUAUUGCCGUACCUCCUACGGAUCCUUUAGAGCAAUAUCUUGAGCAUGAAAAUGAUAUGCAUAUGGAGGAGAGAGAUGAGAUAGAUAGAAUUGUCUUAGAACAACAUCCUAUUCUCAAGAAUAAUCUGCCUGUUGAACUGCUUGGGGAUCCUCCCCCACCUAAGGGUGAUCCUGUGUUCGAGCUUAAAUAGUUGCCUGAUACUCUUAAGUAUGCCUAUCUUGAUGAGAAGGAUAUAUAUCCUGUCAUUAUCAGUGCCCUCCUCUCAGAGCUCGAAGAGAAGAAGUUACUAAAAACUCUGAGGAAGCACCGCGCUGCUAUUGGAUAUACUCUUGAUGAUCUUAAUUAAGGGUAUUAGUCCUACUCUAUGUCAGCACAAGAUUAAAACCGAUCCUGACUUUAAACCAGUUGCUGAUCAUCAAAGGAGAUUGAAUCCUAAGAUGAAAGAGGUCGUUAGAAAAGAAAUAUUAAAGCUUCUGGAAGCAGGAAUCAUUUAUCCUGUUGCUCAUAGUGAUUGGUAAGUCCAGUACAUUGCGUACCUAAGAAGGGAGGUAUCACCGUCGUUCCUAAUGAUAAGGAUGAACUAAUCCCACAAAGGAUUAUUACCGGCUAUAGAAUGGUGAUAGACUUCCGGAAACUGAACAAGGCAACCAGGAAAGAUCAUUAUCCUUUGUCGUUCAUCGACCAAAUGCUAGAAAGGCUAUCAAAACACACACACUUCUGCUUUCUAGACGGUUAUUCAGGUUUCUCGUAGAUACUUGUUGCACAAUCUGAUCAAGAGUAAACCACUUUCACCUGCCCUUUCGGUACCUUUGCCUAUAGACGUAUGCCUUUUGGCUUAUGCAAUGCACCCGCCACCUUCCAAAGAUGUAUGAUGGCUAUAUUCUCUGACUUCUGUGAAAAGAUUGUCGAGGUUUUCAUGGAUUACUUCUCCGUUUAUGGGUCUUCCUUUGAUGAUUGCCUCAGCAACCUUGAUGGAGUCUUACAGAGAUGCGAAGAAACCAACCUCGUCUUGAAUUGGGAGAAGUGCCACUUUAUGGUUAAUGAAGGUAUCGUCUUAGGACACAAAAUCUCUGAAAGAGGCAUUGAAGUUGAUAAGGCUAAGGUUGAUGCAAUUGAUAAAAUGCCUUGCCCCACAGAUAUCAGAGGUAUACGAAGUUUCCUAGGUCAUGCUGGUUUGUAUAGAAGGUUCAUUAAAGACUUAUCUAAGAUUUCUAGGCCUCUUACCAACCUCUUGCAGAAGGAUGUUCCUUUUGUUUUUGAUGAGGAUUGUGAGGAAGCCUUCGAAAUACUUAAGAAGGCUUUGAUAACCGCACCUAUUGUUCAACCACCUGACUGGAACUUGCCCUUUGAAAUCAUGUGUGUCGCUAGUGAUUACGCUGUUGGUGCUGUUCUAGGACAAAGAGUUGACAAGAAGUUGAAUGUCAUUCACUACGCUAGUAAAACUCUAGACAGUGCCCAAAGAAACUAUGUCACUAUGGAGAAGAAAUUUUUAGUAGUCGUGUUUGCAUGUGAAAAAACAGAUCUUACAUAGUUGACUCCAAAGUCACUAUUCACUCUGAUCAGUCUGCUAUUAAGUACCUUAUGCAGAAGAAGGAUGCUAAGCCUAGGCUGAUCAGAUGGGUUCUCCUGCUACAGGAAUUUGAUUUGCACGUCGUUGACCGAAAAGGUGCUGACAAUCCUAUAGCAGAUAACUUGUCUAGACUAGAGAAUGUCCGUGAUGACCCACUACCAAUUGAUGACAGCUUUCCUGAUGAGCAAUUAAAUGUCAUCCGCACUUCACUUAGUGCACCGUGGUAUGCCGAUUAUGCAAACUAUAUCGUAGCCAAAUACAUACCACCCAGUUUCACCUAUGAACAAAAGAGGAAAUUCUUCGUUGAUUUGAGACACUACUUCUGGGAUGAUCCUCACCUUUAUAAGGAAGGAGUAGAUGGUGUUAUUAGACGUUGUGUGCCUGAACAUGAACAGGGACAGAUCCUGCAGAAGUGUCAUUCCGAAGCCUACGGAGGACACCAUGCUGGAGAUAGAAUUGCCCAUAAGGUAUUGCAAUCAGGUUUCUAUUGGCCCACUCUCUUCAAGGAUGCCCGUAAGUUUGUCUUUUCUUGUGACGAAUGCCUAAGGAUAGGGAACAUCAGUAAGCGUCAAGAGAUGCCUAUGAACUAUUCACUUGUCAUUGAACCAUUUGAUGUCUGGGGCUUUGAUUAUAUGGGACCCUUCCCGAGUUCCGAUGGGUACACUCACAUCUUAGUUGCUGUGGAUUACGUUACUAAGUGGGUAGAAGCUAUCCCCACUAAAAAUGCUGAUCACCACACCUCUAUUAAGAUGCUUAAAGAAGUCAUAUUCCCAAGAUUUGGAGUCCCUAGAUACUUGAUGACUGAUUGCGAUUCACACUUCAUUCAUGGUGUUUUCCGCAAGAUGCUAGCUAAGUAUGAUGUCAACCAUAGAGUUGCAUCUCCUUAUCAUCCUCAGUCUAGUGGUCAAGUGGAGUUGAGUAAUAGGGAGAUCAAAUUGAUCCUACAAAAGACCGUCAAUAGAUCUCGAAAGAACUGGUCAAGCAAACUUGACGAUGCACUAUGGGCUUAUAGGACUGCUUAUAAGAAUUCCAUGGGCAUGUCACCGUAUAAAAUGGUUUACGGUAAAGUCUAUCAUUUACCUCUUGAGCUGGAACACAAAGCUUAUUGGGCAAUCAAAGAGCUCAACUUUGAUUUCAAACUUGCUGGUGAGAAGCGGUUGUUUGAUAUCAGCUCGUUGGAUGAAUGGAGAGCCCAGGCAUAUGAGAAUGCCAGGUUGUUCAAGGAAAAGGUUAAGAGAUGGCACGACAAACGAAUACAGAAACGAGAGUUCAAUGUAGGUGAUUAUGUCUUGCUAUACAAUUCUCGUUUGAGAUUCUUUGCACGCUAGCUUCUCUCUAAAUGGGAAGGUUCCUAUGUUGUCGAGGAAGUAUAUCGUUCCGGUGCCAUCAAAAUCAAUAACACGGAAGGAAAUUUUCCUAGAGUGGUAAAUGGGCAAAGAAUCAAGCAUUACAUCUCUGGUACUCCCAUAAAUGUUGAGACCAAUAUCAUCAAUGUCAUAACUCCAGAGGAGUACAUAAGGGAUGUUUAUCAGCCUGUUUCAGACCUUGAAAACGAAGAUGUAUCUGUUUCGGCAAGAAAUUGGACUCCGAUAUUUUGUACGCAAGUAUGCAUGAUUGAAUGAAUCAUGAUACGAUCAACGUAUUUUGGCAUUCACUUUCUACAUCUUGUUUUUGUUCUUUUUUUCUUGUUUCUAUCAUUGUGGCACUCGGAUGGAUGGCGACGCUUCUUUUUUGAGUUCAUCUUCCAGGCUUCGAUUCUCAUUAAGUCUGUCCGUCUGGACAUAGUCGACGGAGCUACUGCGUAGAAUCAUGUUGUCUUCUUCUCGUGACGAGGUUAUGGUUUCUCGUCAUAUGACGAGAUUUGGUGUCAUUGCUUCAGAUCAAUGAAAUGGUUCUAUAGCGACGACUACGGUCCCAGGGUUUGGUCCUUACGUGCAUCUGGAGGAAGAUAUCUCGGAUGUCAUCGUCAGUGUCAAGUUGGCUCCGGUAGGGGAGCGGUGACAGCGAUGCAUCGUCGACACGUUCUAUCAGUUAAGUGGUUAUUCGGUGGUUUCGGAAUCUCAUUCUAAUUUUUAUUAUGUUUGAGAUGCUUUGUAUUUUCGAUGAACGUUUAUAAAAGAUCUGAUACUUUGCUUAAAAAUGAAUGAAAAAUGAUCCUUCCCCAUCGACUCUACUUCCGCUGCGCUACGAGUCGGUAAUGAUCAGAUAAAACCCUGUAUGCAUCUCCUUAGUGGUCCUGGGCGUGCUCGUAGUACCGAAAUUUUUUGUUUUCUAUCGCGUUCCUCUACAGUGGAAUCAUGAGCUAAGCUAUGGGUAGAUGGAGGUUAUGAUCUAGAAUACAUGAGAUGUAUGGGUAUAGCAUAGUAUAAUUUUGUAGUAGAUGAGAUCUAUUGCUGAAAAUUAUAUGUGCGGGUAGUAGAUGAAAUCUAUUACCCAAUAUUCUUGUUGCUUCGCGUGAAUUUGUGUGGUCCUGAUCCUGACGGCAUGGUGGAAUCUUACAAAGUUUUGGCAAUCCGCGAUCCUUUCAUGCUGCUCUUGAGUAUGUUGAUUGAUAGAUCACCGAAGUGCUUCAGUGCUUUUGGGUUCCACCAUAGUUGAGAAAGAUGGAUGUUUCGCAGACGAAAGGGAAAUGCAGAUAUGAUCUGCACGGGGGUCAUGCAUAUGACGAAGUUUAGUAUGGGGCUUGAGCUUUUAUUAUCUCGUGUUUCAUACACCUUGGAAAGUUAAUCUAGCAACUUGAAUUAUUAUACCUGAUGAUGAACGUUGGUAGCUGCAGUUUAAGUCAAAAACAUAGAAGCCAUGUAAAAAUAAAAUUUUGCAUUAACCAAUUAGAGGCGUCUAACUUGAUUUUACAGAAUGUGCAUGAGAUGUGGUAUAACAAUUCUCAUAUUCAACUUGAUUACGUAUGAGAUGACUAUAUAAUGUAAAUUAACAUGACCUGUGUGUCAUGAUUCUGCAUGAUGGCUGGAGCCAUAUGAUUGUCACUUUAAUGACAUGUGUUUCGACAUUAAGUAAUGCAUUUAUUUUACCAGCUAUAGAGAUAGCAAUAUUAUUUGAUGCGUCGAAAAGGUGGUGGCAAUAUUAUCUGAUGUGUACAUAUAUUUGUGCUAACCCUUUUCAAGUAUCCACACAACAUUUUUUUAUAAAUUGUGUACUUUUUCUUGGGUUUUAACUCAUCCUAAGUUGUUGUUCCCAUGAUCUUCGUGGGAAACCGUCUACUAUGUAGCUUCUCAUCCUGAAAAAAGGACCAGUUUUUGUAAGGUUGUUGUGUUCUUGGUUCUUUCACAAAAGUAUUGACUAGAUACUCUGCCUCUUUCUCUGAUAUCGGGCUUUCAACUCUCUAGUUAGGGUCAAAGGCUUAGAAUGUUACUCAUUAUGUAAACGAAUAUAAGACAGUUUAGAUCACUAUUAGCAUCUAAAAUGUUAAUAGUGACUCCCUAUAUAAACCAACAAAAGAACCCUUACGUUCUUUAUAUCAAGAUGGCAUUAGCAAUAGAACACUUACGUUACAAUGGGGCAGAAAAAUACCGCACAUCCUUAAUCCAAUAACCAUGACUCAAGGCUGCAUUCGGUCCACGUGGAUACCGUUUGUGUUGCGGCUUAUCCUCAUUACAACCCUUGCCGACAGUGGCCUCAGUCCUCAAACAACCACAACACGUUUGAAUGUGAUCAAUCCUAACGUGUAUUGCUCUCUCUCGGCAUCAAAUGAGAAAUCUUCUUUAUUUUCCCCUUGCAAGGUUUUGUCGAGGCUUGCUUGCGAGGCUAUAGAUGAUUUGUUUUGUCUCCAAUGUGGUUUUGCUAAGGUGCGAUUUCUAUUCCGUUACUACACUGUUUUCAAAGAAAGACGAACCGUGAGCUAUUGAUUAAGAUGGCAACCUAAAUAAUAUUUUAAAAGUGUUUAACAGGUAAAACAAAAUCACAUUCAGAUUCUAUAAUUCUUCUAAUUAAUCUUCAUCUAUAACAUGUCAAAAUUGAAGUUCGGGUUUAAAAGAUAUGGAUGUUCUUAAAAGUAUUUUAAUCAGCCCAUGGAGUUUGGGUUUAUUGAACAAAAUAUCGUUCUGAAAAACAUAGAAGAUUUUCUGGAGUCACUCAAAACAGGACAGUGGGUCGUUUAACCGAAAGGUUAAGAAGUUUUCAGUUAAAAAAAUAAAUAUUUUUUAUAUUCACUUAAAACCAGGACCGUGCGUUGAUUUCAUGAAACAAUAGGGUUUUUUCUUUGCAAAAGGCGCGACGGAUGGGUAGAAACAUUUCUCCUUUUAUUAGUAGGUAAAGACUAGUGAUCAAGAAUGUAUUAUACUCCCUUCAUUUCUAAAUAUAAGUGUUUUUAGAGAUUUCACUAAAAACUAUAUACGGAUGUAUAUAGACACAAUUUAGAUUGUAGAUUCAUUCAUUUUGCUUAAUAAUGGAGGAAGUAUUAGUUUACAGAUGUAGUGUCUUUAUGUGGCUAGCGAAAUACCAACAAUAUCUACAUGAUUAAAUGGAUGUGCCUAUAUGUGCAAUUCAGAGAGCUUGAGAGAGCAAGUUUUGGAUGAAUCCACCUUACUAUAUCCUAGUACAUCCAUCACACGUACAGCUAGCUAGGGAACCCUGACGCAAUGACGUGCAUAUAUAGAUAUGAGGCAACCCUGCCGACAUGGAAAACUAUAUGUCCAUGUGAACACUUGACUGGUCAUACUACACUACAAGAAAAUAGAAUAACCACACACGCAAUGUAUAUCAGAAUACCAGCACCGCGUAGACUUCACUAAUUGCAUGACAGGUCGAUCGACUUGCAUGUCCCAUGGAAAUGACUGGCCUAGGAUCACAGCAGUGGGGUGUCAGUUCGUAAAAUUUAACUUAAGUACCAUCUUAGUUUUAACAAAUAGUCCUAAAAUGGCACAAAGUUGUCAGAGAAUUAUAGCGAAUAUAGUAUAAAGUAGUUUGCAUUUUUUAGAGGAGUGCCACAGCCAUGGCAGUAUGGCACCUCAAGAUCUGCAGCUGUUUCGUGUAUUGGAGCUAAAUAAUGAGUGCAACAUUUCGGUGUCCUCUGCAUCCGGUUAGGAAAAAAAUCAUAAAAAACUUCAAAAAAUGCCAAUAAAAUCAAAAAAAAUCUCAUGGUAGAAAAGUUUUUGCGUGAGGUCCGCUCCAAUUUUUAGAUUAUUUGAACAUCUGAUAAGCUCUCAGCAAAAAAGAUAAAUUGGAUCAGAACAGUGUAUGAACCAUAACUUUUUUAUGAACCCUGAAUUUGUCUUUUUUUCUGAGAGAUGCUGAGAUGUUUAAAUGAUUUAAAAACUGAAGGGGCCUUUACCAUCAAAUUAUCUACAACGUAAAAAAAUCUAGUAUUUGUUUUGAUUUUAUUUUCUUCGGCGCGGGGUGCAGAUGAGCCUGGGCUCGGAAGUGGAUUAUCGCUAAAUAAUAUGUUGUUUUGUCAAAAGAAAGAUAGGACCCCCAGCCUCUGCAACCUCUGCAUUAUGAUGAUGCACACAACCAUAUUUAUUAAAGUUGAUGUAAGGGGCAGAGAACAAAAUUAUCAAUAAGUGUAGUACAUAACUAUUACAAGAUGUGAAUUUAACACUUAGGACUAAAUCGACUUCUUUCGCAAGACUUCAGUAAGGAAAAGACGCCCUCACAUCAUCGUCAUCACAUUCGACCGGAGACGUCUAGGACACGAAUUUCCAUCCUAGUAGCCCAACCAAGGCCGGGCGGGUCGCUGUUGGAUAUGAAUCCUGCAACUACCCUUGUUGGGCCAGUGGCUCCAGUCGAAGGCGCGAGAUGGCACAACUGCCCCGUCUACUUUAACGGGACCAUGAAGGCGCCUCAAAGCGCCAGCAUCACUCGCCAUGAGGAGCUCUCGAAGAUGGACUUGAGAGAAGGGGAGCGCUUACACGAUUUUGCUCAAGGAGAGGGGGAGCGCUUACACGAUUUUGCUCAAGGAGAGGGUGCAUCGUAAAAUCGCACGGUCUCCUAGAUUAGGGGGUAUUAACCUGGUCGGUCCACGCUCCUCGAAUUGGGCCGAUGGGCCAUCAUCCUACUCGAGGUGGACUCCGGAAGCUGCACAUUGGGUGUUAUCAAGGUUACAUCUGCCGAAGGCUUGACAUAUACUUCAAGACUCCUCCUCCCGCCUCUAUGUUAGGAUACCGACCUUGUAGCCCUAGAUAUCCUACGUAGGGUUUUACCUUCAUCAAGAGGGCUCGAACCUGGAUAAACAUCGUCUCCCUGUUCCUGUUAUCAUUUGUCCAACAUCAACAGCUUGGGGCCUCCUACCCCGAGGUCUACCGGUUUUCACACCCACUGUGUUCUCUCAAGAAAAAAAUGCUAUAUUUUUUUAACCGGUCUAACCCCCUUUCCAUUACUUGAAUAACGAAAUACAUCAGAUCCUAGAGUUCAACAGGAGGAGGGAAAGGAGAUAGAGCGAGUUCAACCAUUGCUAGGAAACCCACUGUGACCGCUCGUCAUCGAAUCGAUCACUGCGAGACGAAAACCUAGCUACAAUAUCCUAGCGGGAGAAGUAUCAUUCCUAUUACAACCUAGGAAUAAUAGGUACAAAAGAGAUAAUAGACUAAACAGUUUUUAAGUAUGUCAGAACACCACAAAAAGACUGCCAGCAGCCACCCUUGCAAAAGUGCAUCGUCCCCAUACCUCCGCUGUUCAUCCACGGCCAGCAUUGCACAGCCUCAUCAGUGACACAGUCCCCGCCCGAACAACUUCAGUUCCGGUUCGCAUCCUCUUCAUGUCGCCUGCUGGCUGCAAACCUGCCCAAUAAAGAAGGAAAGAGCAAUCAGUAAACACAAUCUCAAAUGAAGAUUUGAUCGGUUUUUUCUCCAAGGUAGGUGGAUUCCGAGCUAACCAAAUAGCCCAGGUAAUUGCAGCCAAGCCCACCGUAUAGAAUUUAUCAUCUCCAGGCAUGAAACAAUGGGACCAGGCAAAGUAUUGUCAGUGGUUGUUGGGUCCAAAAUAUGUCCCCAAACAAACCCCAGCCGAACGCCAUAACGCCAUAACUCUACAAAAAAGUGAUAUAAUGUGUAACUAUUUUGUUCAAGUCGAGCAGAUGGACUCUAUCUUGCACCAUAGCGUUUAAGCAGUAUUGAAAUUAGGUCCGCCUAUACAUCAAGUAUCUUGGGAAAAAAAACUGCAUCGAUCAAUUUUCCCAGCAGUUGGAUGGCACGAUCGUGGCACCACCUAUUAUCGUUUUCGCCCCUCACAUCGUACCUCCGUUCGGCCUCGCACAAAACAAAUUGUGUCUGACGCAAAGAAAAAAUGUAGGUACCUGAUGUUUAUCUAAACAAAUUGUGUGUUGGAUUAACUACUUAUUAUACAACAAGCUGAAGGUAUGUGUCCAGCCGUGCCAACGAGCCCGUACGGAAGAUAUAAUAGACACAUGAAAUCAAAGACAUACAGCUCGGAUAUGCGUCUCCCGUGAACGUGAUGAUCAGGGUAAGCCAGCUCCUAGAGCUGCCNNNNNNNNNNACAGAUGGACUCUAUCUUGCACCACAGCGUUUAAGCAGUAUUGAAAUUAGGUCGAGCAUAUGGUUUUCGCCCCUCACAUCGUACCUUCGUUCGGCCUCGCACAAAACAAAUUGUGACUGACGCAAAAAAAAAAUUCAGGUACCUGAUGUUUAUCAAAUGUGUGGAAUUCUUCGUCGGCACAACCAAUGGCGUCCUGGAUUAACUAAUUAUUAUACAACAAGCUGAAGGUAUGUGUCCAGCCGUGCCAACGAGCCCGUACGGAAGAUAUAAUGGACACAUGAAAUCAAAAAACCAUACAGCUCGUAUAUGUGUCUCCCGUGAACGUGAUGAUCAGGGUAAGCCAGCUCCGAGAGCUGCCAUGCCAGAUAUAUAUAUUCCUUUGUCCGAUGCGAUGCUCUAGAUUAUUUUGGCUCCACACUCGUAAAUCCAUCAAAUAUUUAUGUGCACUCUGCAGCAGACAACAUGCACAUAGGAGUACUCUUCUUGAAAANNNNNNNNNNUUUGAGAGCUCCCGUGAACCUUUGUCCGAUGUGAUGCUCUAAAUUAUUUUGGCUCCACACUCGUAAACCCAUCAAAUAUUUAUUUGCACUCUGCAGCAGACAACAUGCACAUAGGAGUACUCUUCUUGAAAACUAAAGGAAAGUCUCGUGGCACAGCUCUCAGGUUUUUGUUCAUUAGCGAACACAUUAAGCUCUAAUGAUGGAUGUCACACGUAACAUGCCAGUACAAUAAUGGUUGCACAUGAGUUUUGGAAAUUACCACGGCAACAGGCAAACUAACUACGUCGAUUGAUAAUGACAUGAACGAGGCACUUGCACNNNNNNNNNNCAAUGAUGGAUGUCACACACGUAACAUGCCAGUACAAUAAUGGUUGCACAUGAGUUUUGGAAAGUACCACGGCAACACGCAAACUAACUACGUCGAUUGAUAAUGACAUGAACGAGGCACUUGCACNNNNNNNNNNCUCGAUUGAUGAUGACAUGAAGGCACUUGCACACCACACCCGGUCUAUAAGUACCACCCCCAAACAACCCAAGAAAACCAUCCCAAGCUAGCAUACCCUACAAGCUUAAUUAGCCACAUACCAGCACAAACGAUCAGUAGCAAUNNNNNNNNNNUCUGUCCCAACAGCACUUGCACACCCCACCCGGUCUAUAAGUACCACCCCAAACAACCCAAGAAAACCAUCCCAAGCUAGCAUAGCCUACAAGCUUAAUUAGCCACAUACCAAAGGGCCUCCUGCCUGGGCUCACCGCACCGGCCACGUGGAGGCCCAUCUGUCCCGGUUUAUGCAAGAACCGAGACUAAAGGUUUAGGGCAUUAGUACCGACACUUUAGUCCCGGUUCAAAAAACGGGACAAAUGGCCCUCACGAACCGGGACAAUAGGUCCUUUUUCUACUAAUGGGAUAAGCUCUUUUGCAUUGUAGCUCGCUGGACGGUGUGGUUUAACUUUAGGUUUGUCCUUGUGAUGUUCGUGCUAUGCAUCAAGUGAUAGCUNNNNNNNNNNNNNNNNNNNNNNNNNNNNNNNNNNNNNNNNNNNNNNNNCUGGACACAUGGAAUCAAAACCGUACGAGACUCCUAUAUGUGUCUCCCGUGAACGUGAUGAUCAGGGUAAGCCAGCUCCUAGAGCUGCCAUGCCAGAUAUAUGUAUAUAUUCCUUUGUCCGAUCCGGUGCUCCAGAUUAUUAUGGCCACACUUGUAAGCCCAUCAAAUAUUUAUGUACACACAGCAGACAACAUGCAUAUAGGAGUANNNNNNNNNNAUGGACACAUGGAAUCAAAAUCGUACGACUCCUAUUUGUGUCUCCGUGAACGUGAUGAUCAGGGUAAGCCAGCUCCUAGAGCUGCCAUGCCAGAUAUAUCUAUUCCUUUGUCCGAUCCUGUGCUCCAGAUUAUUAUGGCCACACUUGUAAGCCAUCAAAUAUUUAUGUACACACAGCAGACAACAUGCAUAUAGGAGUACUCUUCUUGGAAACAAAAGGAAACUCUCAUGGCACAGCUCUCAAGUUUUUGUUCAUUAGCGAACAGAUUAAGCUCCAAUGAUGGAUGUCACACCCGUAACAUGCGAGUACAAUAAUGGUUGCACAUGAGUUUUGGAAAUUACCACGGCAAGAUUGAAACUAAUUACGUCGAUUGAUAAUGACAUGAACGAGGCAUUUGUUGGAAAUAAGUCGUGACGGAGCACGGUGCGACCGGCGUCGAUGCGUCGGGUCGGGUCCGUGACGGUGCGACCGACGUUGGUGCGUCGGGUCGGGUUCCGCAGGCUGGGUUACGACAACAUUGUGUGCAUGUACGUGUGGCGUGUGUGUAGUGCAGCGCAAAGCGUGCGUGGUCGCCAAGGCAGCUCGAGCUGGCCGUUAGCACGUUGUGCGCCUCGUGCGUGCUGGCCGGGCGGAUCGCUAGCUCUAGGUGCGUGCGUGCGUAGGAGACGUGGACGCUGCGUACCUGUAGGACUACAAAGCCGCGGACGCGAACAUGUAUUCAUCAGGGAAAGGAAGCAAAGUGGCUGUGUGUGCGGCCAGGCGUUAGUCGCCGGAAAAACUCCAGUGUGCAUUCUCCUUUCUUCUACCUCUGUCCAGUUGUGUGUGAGAGANNNNNNNNNNUCGAGUUCGUCGCUUGCCGCGCCGGGCAGGAGAACGAGAGGAAGAAGAAGAGAAAUGGAUGAUUUGGUUCGAAAUUUUCUAACUCCCGCUUAUACAGGUGGAUCUACAGUCCCGAUUCGUGGCUCGAUCCGGGACUAAAGAUCCUUUAGUCCCGGAUGGAGCCACGAACUGGGACUAAAGGCCCUUUUUCGGCUGACCAGAAGGCGGGAAGCAGGGGCCUUUAGUCCCGGGGCGUGGCUCGAACCGGGACUAAAGACCACUUUAGUCCCGGGUGGAGCCACGACCCGGGACUAAAGCCCCUUUUUCGGCUGACCAGAAGGCGGGAAGCAGGGGCCUUUAGUCCCGGGGCGUGGAAAGAACCGGGACUAAAGUUUUGCCUAUAUAAACCCUCGCCCCUGCCCACCAUAUCCCCUGUUUUUUGGUUGUUGAAGUGUGACCAUGCCAUGCUCUUGCCACUCUAGUUCAUGCACAUGACGUGUUCGAUGAAAUGCUCGAGCCACUCUACUUAAGCUUUCUCCUCUCCAAGCUCGACCUCCAAGCUCCAUUUUCCUUAAUAUUUGUCUAGGUUUGGCCGUGCACCAACUGCGAGCACCACCGUGGUGAGCCUCUUGUUCUUAUCUUCUUUUUAAAAUUAAAAAAAUCUUACUUGUAUGAAUUAUAUACAUACUUGUAUAAAUUACUCACUUUCAUUAUUUUUUGUUAUGAUAUAGUGCGAUGGUUUUGGUAUCCGCCUCCGUCGGCCCUCGUCCUGUCUAUGAUUCGGAUGUGGUAUAUAUUAUAUUUUAUAACUAUUUGUUUUAUUUAGUGUUUAUGACAAUUAUGACAUAUAUUUUUUAAUCUAGGAGGUAUGUGAACCGGAAAUUCCAACCCACAUAAAAAUUCUUGUCGAGAAGUUCAAUUUGGUUGAAAAAGAAAACAAAUACUUGAAGAAAAAAUUGAAAAUAAUUGAGGAUAAGAAUAUGGAACUGGAGUUGCAUGUCGCCGAUGUCAUCGAUGAUUGCAAGAUGAAGAUCGAUGCGAUGCGGUUGAAGAUGGAUGCAAUGCGCUUGAAGAUGGAUGAAAUGCGCUUGAAGAUUAGGAAUAUUAGAAAAUAUGCCAUUGAUAAGGAGGUUGGUAUCAUUAUGUUGUUGGGUCAAUUGUUACCUUAGUGCGAUUUUGAUCGCGUUUGUUGUUGCAUUUAAAUGUUUUACAUAGUUGUAUGUUGUUUCAUGAGAGAACUUUAUGUAUUUAUUUUUUGCAAUAAUAACAUUUGGUCACUACUGUUCUUUGGCUUUAAUGUGAUGAUGAACUUGUAUUAAUUUGGUCAUAUGUUUUGCAAUGGUUUUUUAAUAUAUUUGAUUUCAUAAUAGAGAUGAAUCGCCAAUGAUAAUAUUUAAUUUCAUAAUAUGGUUUUUUGAACUCCAUAAAAAGUUGAGAGGGCUACGACAAAAACUAGAUGCACUUCGUGUACAAAACGGACAAUCUCUCUCGAAGUAUCAGGGUUUCGAACGAGAACUUGUCUCUUACAAAGGGAUUUCAUUUUUGUGAACUUAUUUGAACUCCAUACUUUUUGGUGUGUUCAAAAUGCACCAUUCAAAGGCACAACACAAAAUUUCAACAAUUUCUGACUUCAUUUGGUAUAUUUCGUGGAUUUACUUAUUUGUUUUGAGCUAGUUGACCCUGAAAUUGAAAAGCACUACAAAUGAACUCUGAAAAUGUUGAAAGUUGGCAUGCUAUCAUCAUUUCACCCACAUAGCAUGUGCUAAAAAGUUGAGAGGGCUACGACAAAAACUGGAUGCACUUCGUGUACAAAACGGACAAUCUCUCUCGAAGUAUCAGGGUGUCGAACGAGAACUCAUCUCUUACAUGGAUAAUAUGAAAAUGAAAAGUGUUUGAAAUUUAGUACGUUCCAUACAUGCAUUACAUAAAAGGUUUAAUANNNNNNNNNNUUGGAUGCACUUCGUGUACAAAACGGACAAUCUCUCUCGAAGUAUGAGGGUUUCGAACGAGAACUCAUCUCUUACAUGGAUAAUAUGAAAAUGAAAAGUUUUUGAAAUUUAGUACGUUCCAUACAUGCAUUACAUAAAAGGUUUAAUACAUUAUUACAUUAUUGCACCAAUAUUCCUAUCUAUUAUUUCUGUUUUAUUCUGGGUCAUAGCCAUGGAGAAUCUUCAUCAUUCAUUAGGAUGCUUGGGUCAUUUUUCACUUUGAAGGGCGGAAUUUCAUGAAACUUAUUAUAAUCUUCUGNNNNNNNNNNCUUUUCUUCUGGGUCGUAGCCAUGGAGAAUCUUCAUCAUUCAGUAGGAUGCUUGGGUCAGUUUUCACUUUGAAGGGCGGAAUUUCAUGAAACUUAUUAUAAUCUUCUGACAUGUCUGUCUUGUCAUCUACUCCCACGAUGUUUCUUUUCCCUGAAAGAACCAUGUGGCGUUUUGGCUCAUCGGAUGAUAUCUUCUUUUGCUGAUUUCUUUUUCUCGUUAAUGUAGACAUGUCCUUCACAUAGAAAACCUGAGCGACAUCAUUGGCUAGGACAAAUGGUUCGUCCAUGUACGCAAGAUUGUUAAGAUCCACUGUUGUCAUGCCGUACUUUUGGUCUACAACUAACCCGCCUCCUCUCAGUUUCACCCAUUUGCACCGAAAUAAAGGAAUCAUAAAAGUAGGUCCAUAGUCAAGUUCCCAUAUCUCCUCUAUGUACCCGUAAUAUGUUUCCAAACAGUGCCCAUUCUCGUCUGUUGCAUCAAAGCAUACACCACUAUUUUGGUUGGUGCUCUUUUUAUCUUGGGCAACCGUGUAAAAUGUAUUCCCAUUUAUCUCAUACCCUUGCAAAGUACAUAUAGUCGAAGAUGGUGGCCUGGCCAAACAGUACAGCUCAUCUCCAACGGUGUCGUCAUUCAGGAGAUGUGUCUGCAACCAACUNNNNNNNNNNGAAAGUACAUAUAGUCGAAGAUGGUGGCCUGGCCAAACAAACAACUCAUCUCCAACGGUGUCGUCAUUCAGGAGAUGUGUCUGCAACCAACUGCCGAAAGUCUUCUCGUGUUCCCCUUUAAUCCAAGAGUCAGCCUUCCCCGGGUUUUCGGAGCGUAGAAUAUUCUUGUGUCUCACGAUAUACGGAGCCACCAUGGUGGAAUUGUGUAGAACUGUGUAGUGUGCUUGAGAGAAAGAAUGCUCGUCCAUACAUACUUUUGCUUUCCUUCCUAGUGUGCCUUUUCCUGUCAGCCUACCCUCAUACCGAGAUUCAGGAACACCAAUCGGCUUAAGGUCAGGAAGAAAGUCCACACAAAACUCAAUGACCUCCUCUGUUCCAUAGCCCUUGGAGAUGCUUCCUUCUGGCCUAGCACGGUUACGAACAUAUUUCUUUAAGACUUCCAUGGACCUCUCGAAGGGGAACAUAUUGUGUAGAAACACAGGACCGAGAAUUCUAAUCUCUUCGACUAGGUGAACUAGGAGGUGUGUCAUUAUAUUGAAGAAGGAUGGCGGGAACAACAACUCAAAGCUGACCAGACAUUGGACCACAUCAAUCUGUAACCCUGAUAGACUUUCUCGAUCGAUUACCUUCUGAGAAAUUGCAUUGAGGAAUGCACAUACCUUCACAAUUGCCAGGCGAACAUUUUCCGGUAGAAUUCCCCUCAAUGCAACCGGAAGCAAUUGCGUCAUAAGCAUGUGGCAGUCAUGAGACUUUAGGUCUUGGAAUUUUUUGUCUUUCAUAUUUAUGAUUCCCUUUAUAUUCGACGAGAAGUCAGUCAGGACCUUGAUACUGAAAAGGACUUCAAAGAAGAUUUCCUUCUCUUCCUUAGUAAGAGCGUAGCUGGCACGCCCUUGAAACUGCCCUGGAUGCAUGCCAUCUCUUCCUUUAUGACGUUCCUGGUCCUCCCGUGCUUCCGGUGUAUCUUUUGACUUCCCAUACAAGCCCAGGAAGCCUUGAAUAUUCACGCAGAGAUUCUUCGUCAGGUGCAUCACGUCGAUUGCCGAGCGGACCUCAUGGACUUCCCAGUAGGGUAGCUCCCAAAAUAUAGAUUUCUUCUUCCACAUGGGUACGCGCUUAUCAGGGCCGUUAGGAACAGGUUGGCUGCCAGGACCCUUUCCAAAGAUUACUUUUAAAUCUUUGACCAUAUCAAAUACUUCAGCACCAGUACGGAUGACAGGCUUCCCCCGGGGUUCUGCCUUGCCAUUGAAAUGNNNNNNNNNNAGACCCUUUCCAAAGGUUACUUUUAAAUCUUUGACCAUAUCAAAUACUUCAGCACGAGUACGGAUGACAGGCUUCCCCCGGGGUUCUGCCUUGCCAUUGAAAUGCUUGACUUUUUUCUUUAAGGGAUGCUUGGGCGGAAGAAAACAACGAUUGUACGGAUACACAUUCUUCCUACAGUUGUCGAGAUAUAUACUUUCUGUCUGAUCCAAACAGUGCGUGCAUGCAUUGUAUCCCUUGUUUAACUGUCCUGAAAUGUUACUAAGAGCAGGCCAAUCAUUGAUGGUUACGAAAAGCAACUCUCGAAGGUCAAAUUCCUCUUGUUUGUGCUCGUCCCACACACGUACACCUGGUUCGGCCCACAGCUGUAAAAGUUGAUCAACUAAUGGCCUUAGGUACACAUCAAUAUCGUUGCCGGGUUGCUUUAGACCUUGUAUAAGCACUGGCAUCAUAAUAAACUUCCGCUUCAUGCACAACCAAGGAGGAAGGUUGUAGAUACAUAGAGUAAUGGACCAGGUGUUGUGACUGCAACUCUGCUCCCCAAAAGGAUUCAUGCCAUCUGUACUCAGACCUAACCAUAAGUUCCUUGCGUCUGCUGCAAAUCUCGGGAACUCUCUCUUGAUUUUUCUCCACUGCCGACCAUCAGCGGUGUGCCUCAACUUAUCGUCUUUCAUACAAUCUUCCAUGUGCCAUCGCAACAACUUCGCAUGAUCUUUAUUUCUGAACAGACGUUUCAACCGUGGUAUUAUAGGAGCAUACCACAUCCCCUGGCAGGAACCGUCUUCCUGGGUGGCUCGCCCUCAAUAUCACCAGGGUCAUCUUUUCUGAUCUUAUACCGCAAUGCAGUCUAUACCGGGCAUUUAUCCAUAUUCUCGUACUUCUCACCUCGGUAGAGGAUGCAUUCAUUAGGGCAUGCAUGUAUCUUCUGCACGUCUAAUCCUAGAGGGCAGACAAGCUUCUUUGCUUCGUACGUGCUGGCGGGCAAUUCGUUCUUUCUUGGAAGCAUCUUCUUCAUCAGUACCAGCAACUUUUCGAAUGACGAGUCAGUCACACCGGUCUCUGUCUUCCACUUCAGCAAUUCCAGUGUGCUACCCAGCUUCUUCUGGCCAUCUUCACAAGUUGGGUACAACAAUUUGUUGUGGUCCUGUAACAUCUGCUCGAACUGCAACCUCUCCUUUUCUAUGUCGCAACCUCGCCGUGCAUCAGAAAUGACCCGGCCAAGAUCAUCAGCGGGCUCAUCUGGUUCCCGUUCUUCAUCCUGAUCUUCUUCUUCAUUGUCUUGCAUUGCGGUAUCAGCAUACUCAGGGAACAUAGAUCGGUAGUUGUCAUCAUCGUUCUCUUCUUCUUCAUCGUCGCCUUCCAUCAUAACCCCUCUUUCUCCGUGCUUGGUCCAAACAUUAUAGCCCGACAUAAAACCGGACCGAAGCAGGUGGCUCUGAAUGACUCUUGAGGAAGUGUAAUCCUUCCAAUUCGACAUUCAACACAUGGACAAAACAUAUAGCCACCACCAUGCUUGUUCGCAUUGGCUGCAUCUCGAAAAGAAUGCACGCCUUCUCUGUAAGCGGCUGUGCGUCGAUCACCGUACAUCCAUGGAUGGCUCAUCUCUGCGUUAUACGACAGUAUAUCAAAUACAAUCACGAUCCUAAAAAUUAGUACCGCACGAUCUAAACGAGGAAAUAUAGUUGCUAACCUUUUAGAAUAAGUAGAAAUAAAGAGGAAGAGGUUUAAGCGUGGCUUGGGCAUCUCAUAUCGUAGUUGUAUUCGGUGAACUGAAGCGGCAUCGCUCUAACACACAUUUCAACAAACACCUCUAGUGCAUAAAAAAAAGUGGAGAGCAAGCACCCACCCACAAUCCUCCAUCCAAUAAAAAUGCAACGAAGAGGGGAGAGGGGGGCUGUGCUAUAUAUAGGCAGAGGACUUUAGUCCCGGUUUGAGACACAAACCGGGACUAAAGGUGGCGCACAUGCGGGCUGCCCACCGCGUAGCCCUUUACUCCCGGCUUGGGACACGAACCGGGACUAAAGGCUCCUUACGGGCCGGGACUAAAGCCUCGAGGGAGGAUAUGAGAAUUGGGGCGACGUAGCCGGGCCUUUAGUUCCGGCCCAGAGGCAGGCCGGGACUAAAGGGUACAGGCCAAAGGCCCGGUUUCUACUAGUGUAUGUGUCCAGCCCUGCCAACGAGCCAGUAUAAUACACCAGAGUACGAAAGAUAUAAUAUACACAUGAAAUCAAAACCAUACAGCUCUUAUAUGUGUCUCCCGUGACCGUGAUGAUCAGGGUAUGCCAGCCCCUAGAGCUUCCAUGCCAGAUAUAUUCCUUUGUCCGAUGCUAUGCUCCAGAUUAUUAUGGCCACACUUGUAAACCAAUCAAAUAUUUAUAUGCAAACAGCAGACAACAUGCAUAUAGGAGUAUCUUCUUGGAAACUAAAGGAAACUCUCAUGGCACAGCUCCCAGGAUUUUGUUCAUUAGUGAAGAGCAGAUUAAGCUCCAAUGAUGAAUGUCACACACGUAACAUGCCAGUACAAUAAUGGUUGCACAUGAGUUUUGGAAACUACCACGGCAAGAAUGAAACUAAUUACCUCGAUUGAUAAUGACAUGAACGAGGCACUUGCACACCACACCCGGUCUAUAAGUACCACCCCCAAACAACCCAAGAAAACCAUCCCAAGCUACCAUAGCCUACAAGCUUAAUUAGCCAUAUACCAGCACGAUCCAUCAGUAGCAAUGGCGCCUUCCAAGCUCGCCUUCUUCCUCGCUCUGAACCUGGUCCUCCUUGCCGCCGUGCAGGGCUGCGGUCCCUACUGCCCACCGGUCNNNNNNNNNNGGCGCCCUCCAAGCUCGCCCUCUUCCUCGCCCUGAACCUGGUCCUCCUUGCCGCUGUGCAGGGCUGCGGCCCCUACUGCCCACCGGUCGUCCCCACCCCGCCGAUCCUCCCACCACCCGUGCCGUCGACCGACGGAGGCAGCUGCUCGAUCAACACGCUGAAGCUGGGCGUGUGCACCAACGUGCUGAACCUGCUGAAGCUUAAGAUUGGCGUGCCGGCGAACGAACAGUGCUGCCCACUCCUGGGCGGGCUCGCCNNNNNNNNNNGCUGCUCGAUCAACACGUUGAAGCUGGGCGUGUGCGCCAACGUGCUGAACCUGCUGAAGCUCAAGAUCGGCGUGCCGGCGAACGAGCAGUGCUGCCCACUCCUGGGCGGGCUCGCCGACCUCGACGCCGCGGUGUGCCUCUGCACCGCCAUCAGGGCCAACAUCCUCGGCAUCAAGCUCAACGUCCCCAUCGACCUGACCCUCCUCCUCAACCAGUGCGGCAAGAAGUGCCCAACCAACUUCACCUGCCCCAUCUGAUGCAUCCAUCCAUUGCAUGGGCUCCCUCGCUCGUGCAUGCAUGCUUGAUAAGCUCGUGAUUGAUCAUCAGGGUCAUUGUAUCCCGUUAUGGUAUCUAAAUGCACGAUUUGCAUAUUUGUAAAAGGAUAUACAUACUUGUACACGCACCUUGGAAUAUAAAAUUUGUUCAAGUUGGGGUUUUCUCUCUUCCCUCUCGGCUGGAACCCUAGCCCUCCUCGUCAAGAGAAAAGAUCAUCCUAGUGUAUGUAGCUUAGUAAAUAUACCCUAGCCCUCCUCGGCACAAAAAAUCUUAUGUAACUUAGGAACAAGGCAGGAUCUAAGAAUCAUUUUUNNNNNNNNNNCAACACGUUGAAACUGGGCGUGUGCGCCAACGUGCUGAACCUGCUGAAGCUCACUCCUGGGCGGGCUCACCGAC
rnacentral:lncRNA from 1 species